rnacentral:lncRNA from 1 species
GGCCUUUCUUCCGUAUUUCCUGAUAACCCCUGCAGAAAUAGACAAACACCAAAACUCGUGGAAUUCUGUCAGAUAAAACCCUAAGUCUAGGUGUUGGUUGCAUUUGGAUCCUUUUCCAUGAUUAGUUGACGGUUAAAUGUGAGCAUUAAGGACCGUCAACAAGCUGCCCCAAGCUUAACCUUUGCUCGUCCCUGAGCAAAGAUGAACUCAAGAGUUUCUGCAGUGGUUGCAUGUCUUAAAGAUACACAUGCGUUCAAACAAGAUAUCAUUUCUGGGUUAGGGUAAACUGUUAAGAUUUAAAUUUACUCAUUUUACCUUCCACCAUGGGGCUUGCAACCGUCACUUGUGUCUUGAGAAGUGAAAAGAUAGAACGGUCUAGUCAAGCGCCAUGUCUCUUGUUCUUCGAUUAACUAUAGCUCUAGAGUUUUUGCAGAUUUUCAAAUAAAACUCAGAGAUUCCUGGUACGACUCUCUCUAGUCUCUCAUUUGUGGUAUUUCUGGAUCCUUACCAAGGCAGUAAUGAUAUAUGCCUUCUCUCAAAGUAUGUAGUAUUUGUGGUAUGAGGCAUAGUGGCAUUGCCUUCUCUCUCACCCUACUCUAAUAAGGUUUUGAUAUCUGGAGCUCAAAGGUGGGAGACAGCUAAUACAUACUUACAAGACAUUUAUUGCAUAGUCAAACCAUGGAUCCAGAAGAACAAGUCAAUAAGUCAAAUCAAGAUGUGCAUGUGUGGCGAAUGAAUGGUGUAUUGUGAUGAUGGUGAUAACAAUAGUGAAAGUCUAAUUCUACUUAUGCUCUUUUGACGGGAUACAUAACUUUCUUGCUCUUUUGAAACUUUUUGAGGAGAAUGAGAUGCUCUAUAUUUUCUUUUUUUUUUCUUUUCUCUCAGGUGGGUAUCUUGUACCCCUAAUUCUAGUGUCGGACACUUGUCCAUUUUUACCUCUCGUCUCACUUUUUCUUUUCUUUUGAGGUUCCGGGCACUUGCCCCUUUUUAUUUCCUCGUAUCUCUCUUUUUUUUCCCUUCUUUUUUUAUUAGAGCACUCAUCUCCUGAAAUAAUAUAGCAAGUGGUAGUAACCAAGAUAACUUGAGCAUUUAUUUCAGAGAGGAAAACAGAAAUGUUUUUGGCCAUUCUCUCCUGGAUUAGGAGUAGAAUAUUUUUGGGUAGUUCUGGAGAUGGAAAUGGGUGGAUAUAUGUGGAUGCGUACUUCCGGAGUAGAAGCAGCAUGUGUGAGUGAACGUGCAAGUGAAUCUUGACUUAACCACAUGACAAGCUCCUAAGAGUCUACACAGCUUGACCACACUCAAUGCUCAUAAGCAGUAAAAAGUAAAUGUGUGGCUCAAAGUCUAGCAAGCAUGUAUAUAUGGCUGUGGUAGGAAUUUAAACUCUCAUCAUACAUGAACUCAUCAUGUGAUAUUUUAAAGAUUUUCAAAGAUAAAAUUCUCCAGAAUUCUAGCAUCUCUGGGAACAAAUAAACAGCAGCUCAACCUUCCCAUAUCAUAUCCGUUAACGACUUAGACUUUAAAUCAAGUACUCUCCCCACAAGUUCAGGUUUAGAGCAAAUCUUAAUUAAUACCAGUCAUGCCUAAACUUGAGAGAGAUUUUGAUUUUGAGAACUAGUCAUGGCAGAGCAACUAUUCAUCAUUUCCAUGUGAGAGCUUAUCAUGAGGGUUCAUAGCAAACUUUAUUUAUUUAUUUAUUUAUCAAACUAAGCAAAGAUAUAUAUAUAAGCAUAUUAGAGUAAAGUAUAAAUAUGCGUAGAAUACUUAGCUGGAUAAAUGGGGGUGCUCUCCCCCAAGCUGGAUUUUGAUGUAAUUUCUUGUGAUGUAGCUAGCAUGUGGCGGAGGUGUAUUUGAAUGUCGGCAGCACCCUGACAGCGAUUAGGAUGUCCUCCGUUUGCUAGUUUUCUUUGAUCCUUGAAUUCUGUGGAGCUCAAAUAGACAACAAAGCUUUGUGGAACUAGUUAAGUGUUAGCAUAAAUAUUUAGCCUUUAUCAUGUUGAGCCUCCUCAAUAAAUGUUACUCUCUUAGUAGAAUCAUAAAUUUAUUUUUAUAAUUUUAUUUUUAUAGGACAGGAAUAUAUUAAUUUUAUUUUUAUGCCACCACAGUGAAUGUACUUAUGGGUUUUAUGCCAUGAGCAUACUCACAUGGGGCUUACUAUUUUUAACAUUUUUAUUUUCUUUUCAAGAUGAUAUGAACCUGAUUAACUAAACAAACUACUUUAAAAUAAUUGAAAGAAAAAAGAUAACUACCAAGUUUACCUCUUGGCAAGGCGUUCGGUGUUUUUAAGUCCUCCGAACGGGACUCUCCGUUUUCUCAGUCAUCCUGGGAUUCGCUGGAUGGCGUAGUCGGUGGUUCCGGCAGCGCCUCCUCUUCAUGUAUAACUAUCUUCUUUCUCCACACCUGAUUCGGUGCUACGGUCUCCUCAGGACAGUUUUGUUCAAGUUGUAUGUCUUCAGACAUUACCACUUCUCCUUCAUAGUCUACCCAUCCGUCCUUGAUGAUUUGCCUCCUCUGGUUGCGGUUGCAUCGUCUUCUUCUUGUCCUGACCUGCUUAGAGUCUUCAACGAUAUAGUUAGGGUCAGUAAAGUAGCGGCGUACCUUCUCUGAGGGGAAGUGCAUGUGGACUUCUCCGGUUCCAAUGUAGAUGAUUGCUUUAACGGUGCUGAGGAACGGUCUUCCAAGGAUGACGGGUGGGUUGUAUUCGUCUUCUCCCAUGUCAAUAACCUUCAAAUCAUCUGGAGCUGAAUGUAUGUUGGUUGUAGGGGCAUGGUUCCAUGCAGGAGCUGAUAAGUGACUGCGGCCAUUAUGUUGACGUCAGAUCCAGUGUCGUAGAGUGUCUUUUGAAAAUAAUAUUCGUUGAUUGUGCACUCGAUGCUUGGAACACCAGGGUCGUCCUUCUUGAUCAAGAAAGGCGACUUGAGUUGACGAUCUUGACCUCCUUGAACUGCACUGACCAACUUAGCUGACUCGAUCCACAUUUGCUUGUUCCUGUUCCCCCUGUUGAACCUCUUCCUUGAUUCAUGUCGAGAUUGCUGUGAAAUUUGUGUAGUCUUGCUCGUGAAGGAAAACGUCUCAUUCCUCCCCUUGAUGUAGAAACUGAUCUUGGCAGCACUAGCAUAGAUGACAGCUCCCAAGGUGUUCAGGAAUGGCCUCCCAAGGAUGAUGGGUGCCCUCUCAUCAGUAUCAGUCUCUAUCACCAUGAAGUCUGCUGGAGCGUAUAAGGUACCAACUCGGACGUAGAGGUUCUUCAAUAUUCCCUUUGGGAAACUUAGUGUCUGAUCUGCAAGCUGCAAACACAUGGUUGUUUCUAGGAAAGGAUGUGUAAAGAUUUUUUCAUAGAGUACCCUGAGCAUAAUGUUGACGCUGGAGCCAAAGAUGCAGAGUGCUUCUAGGAAGUCCACCAUGCCGAUGGAGAUCGGGAUGACGGGACGUCCUGGAUUGCAUCUCUUGACCGGCAGAAGGUCAGUAAUUACUUCCACAAUAGGGUUACUCCAGUAGUUACGUCCUCAAGCAUCUCUGGGCAGUGAUUGCCUGAGUGUCCAGUAUCUUCAGUGUGUUUGUGCUCGUAGAUCUAGGUUCUUCACUUGGUGGAGUCUGGGAGUUAUAAAAGUCCUUCAUAUUUUGCUCGAAGUGUACCUGCUCAUAGAGACAAGGCAGAGAUCAAGUGCAUGGGCCCUGUUGGUGGAAAGCACCAACAGAACCAAAAGUGUAUUUGCUCUUCUCUAUCCUUAAGCAUAGUGAGCAAGACACAGUUGAUGGAUAAUAAGAUCAUGAUUGUAGCAUUUAAAACAUUCGUCAGAUCAGAUCACUCAACCUAAUGGAAAGAUAAUCUAUCUAUACUUAUUUUUUAUAUAUAUAUCUUCCAAAGAUUGAGUGUGCAACAUUUUAGCUCAUAUGAUUAGGACUGUGGGAUUACAAAGGUGGAAGGACUAAACAUAUUGAAUCGAUUGGGUUGGUUAAUCUAGAGUUGUAAAUCAUACAUGUUUGUCUCUUUUACUCAUGUGAACGCUAGAACCAUAGAGAAGCUUAUAAAAGUGAUAGUCAAGUACUUUAUGAUGUUACCUUACUUGAAGAGUGAUGGUACAGUAUCACCUUGUGGAAGCUUUCCUUUCUUAGUGGUUGUGCAUCGUGUUUGUGGCACCCUCCAUGGAUCAUCUCUUGUGAGCUAUGCUUUCCUUGUGUAAAUUGUUAAACUUCAUGUGUCUCUCUCUUUGUCUCCAAUGUGAGUUUAUCUCAGGACUUCCCAGGUCGAUAUUGAAAGUUUUCCUGCAGGGGUUAGUCCAACAAAAUAUCCAAUAUCUACUAUAGCAUACUAUCAGCUCAAAGAUCAACCUAGACACCAUGUCUAAUUUGAUUUAGGAGGGCAUUUUAACCUAAGCAUCAUGCUUAAUUUAAAAUCCCUUGGAAGUAAGAUCAUCAUUCCUAAACUAAGCACCAUGCUUAAUUAAGAGAUAAAUGAAACUACUCCAAGCCUAGACAUAUACUAAAGCAAAUAAAGGUGGUAUGAGAGCAUUUAUAGAGAUCUACUCAAGUGGAGAUGAAGUAGUGUGAUUAGUAUUUAACAAAUUGAGCAUGUCUCAAAGGUAGGGACAACCAACAUAGCAACAUGGCAAAGGAUGUUUUUAUGUAAAGUACUCCCCCAAGCUUGAAUUUUGCAAAAUUCAAGUUUGGAUGAAUUUAGUUCAAUGUUGUAUGAUGAUUGGUUGGACAUACCUUGUGUUUGUCAUUCAUCCGAUCUUCUUGCUCCAAUCCUAGAAAGGUUAGUGACAAGAAUACCCGAAGGAAUUUUUUUAAAAUUAUCCUUAUAUGCUCAACUCACAAGGUAAUGUGGCAAAUAAUUAAAAGCUCAUGUUAUGAUCUAAUCAGUGCUUGUUUUAGGACACUAAGCUUGUCCUUGGGAAACCAUCAAUUUAUGUCGGUGAAGUGGUUUCCCCUCCAACGCUGACCUAUAUCAAGAUCAACUCAAUGAGAUCUGCAAUAUUUAAUAUAGACAUAUGCAUCGACAUAAAUAGAAAGGAUGAGGGGGUUGGAGAUCUCGAAUGUGGUGAUGUUGGAAAAACCAAUGGAUUGUGAAGAUGUUGCAUAUGAGCAUGGAGUAAAUUAAGUGGCCAUGAAAUAAAUUCCAUGCUCAUUAAUGCUUAGAGUGAAAUCCAUGUGGUGUGGUGAAAAUGGUAAGGUGUGUGUUUUAAAAAAGGGAAAAGAAAAAGGACACACGAACGACUUGGUUCGAAACUAGCACAGCUACCGUUCCCCAGCAACGGCGCCAGAAAGCUUGUUGGGUAUUUUAAACGCAAACAGAAAAAUCCGCAAGCACACGGAUACCGAUGUAGCUUUCACCCGGGAGUAUUCCAGAGUAUCGAUUUUCCACAGAGAACGUGAGUGUACUAAUUAAGAUCCAAGAUUGCCCAAGGAUAACUAUAUAAUUAUUUUUGGUGGAAAGAGAGGAAGUUUCCUGAGAGUUUUCUAGUUGAUCUAAGAAUCAAUAAUUACUUCAAAGAUUAUUUAUAUCGGGACAUCAGAGCACUAACCACAGAAAGAGAUGAGAAGGGGGCUAGGAAGGUCUGACUACGGUCCCACAAACACCGAUCCGAACGAGGUGGAAUACGUCGACCGUUAGGGCUGUCACUACCCUAAGGCUACCACAACAAUCCGCAGGAUUGGGUGCAAUUCCAGGUAAUCGCAAGACUAAACACCACGUCUAAUCUAUUAAUUACUACUCUAGCGUUAUAAAGACUAGAGCACUUGAUGCAAGCGGGAAUCCAAUAAAUAACUUGAAUGUAAAGAAAAGUAAUUAAAGAACUCAGGAAUUAUGAAUUGAAGAACUUGGAGAACAAUGAAGAACGAACCAGUUGCUGCAAAAGUAUAAUGUUGAGGAAGAUCCGACAGAUCCGGCUCCUCCUCCGCUCUCCUCUUCUCUCUCCCUAUUUUCUAGAUUACAACUAGAACUAACUAGAACUAGAACUAGAAUAACUAGAACUAGAACUAGAUGAACUAGAACUAGAUCUAGAUGAACUAGAGGUAGAACUAGAAGAACUAGAGGGAUCCUCUCUACUUGGAUGAAGAAUUGAAACCCUAGUGAUUUUGUAGAAUAGGUAUGAUGUCCAGAGGCCAGGGGGUCUGGUUUUAUAGUCCCUUCAAGUGAAUCUAGGCCGUUGGAUCAAACCGAUAUUGAUUGAAUGGUUAUCCUUGAUCCUUUAGGUCGGUGGAGCAAUAUCCCCGAAACGUGUCCUGUUUGGACUCUGGAAGUGGGCGGGCGCCCUGUCCCUGAGCCCUCUCGGCCUCUGAUUCCUUCCCGUGGCUUCUGGAGUCUUCUAGAUGGCAGAAAAUUGCGUAGCACGUUAAUACCUCUAUGUAAACCCGACGUGUGGGCCUUUCUUCCGUAUUUCCUGAUAACCCCCUGCAGUAAUAGACAAACACCAAAACUCGUGGAAUUCUGUCAGAAAAAACCCUAAGUCUAGGUGUUGGUUGCAUUUGGAUCCUUUUCCAUGAUUAGUUGACGGUUAAAUGUGAGCAUUAAGGACCGUCAACAGAGUGGCACCUUCCAAAUCGAGUAGCCCGCCAAUUUGGCUUGUGCCAGCAAUGGCCUGUCCCGCCAUUCGAUACUUCCGUGGACUGCACAAGUAAGUCAUUUUGGUAAAUUUUCCAUGCAAUUGAUAGAAAUGUUGACUGAAAUUUAUUCAAAGUUCAAUAUUUAUUCAAAGUUCAAUACCAUAAAUGUUGCUGAAAUUUACAUGAUUGCUAAAAUUUAUUAGCUACUUGGUCCAAUAUAAAUGCUUGCUGAAAUAUAUUACCCCCUAUAUCCAUGUUGGUACUUUUUACAUGCUUGCUGAAAUUUAUAUAAAUGUUGCUGAAAUUUACAUGCUUGCUGAAAUUUAUUUGCUACCUUUUCAUUCAAUGUUUGCUGAAAUUUAUUCAAAGAUGCAUAUUUGAUCAAAGUUCAAUACCACAAAUGUGCUUGUGCCUAUCCAUGCUUGCUGAAAUUUACAUGCUUGUUGAAAUUUAUUUCAUACUUGGUCCAAUAUAAAUGCUUGCUGAAAUUUAUAACUCCCUAUAUCCAUGUGGCUAGUAGAAUAUUUAUAACCCCCUAAUGAGUUUUUGAAUCAAUGUUGUUUAAUCUGUUUUAUUAUUUUCAUCUUUAAUAUUUAAUAUCAGGAUUGAUCGUCAGAAGCAGAAGAAGACAGUUGAGUUUGAGACGCUGCAUCGUCACCACAUAGAGGUGUGGGACUAGUUUCAUGACAACCUCUACGAAAAUGAGCAACCACAUACCAACUACAAUUUUCAUGCAUACCUUACUUGGUACCUAGGUGUUACACAAACAAGGUUGAAAAUUCAGUGGACCCAAGCAGAUUAUGCGUACCUUGAAUCAUCUGAGGAUGAGGACACUUCCUAUGACUUUGCGGCACGACAAGGGACACUUAUCGAGGCAGCACCUGUCUUGGACCGAGUGGUACAUGUCCUUUCCACUUUACAAUUGUACGGUUAUUGUAUUGAAUAAAUUACACCUAUAUAAACUAAUACAUGUCUUAUCUUAUAGGGCAAUGCAAUCAAGCAAUCUGUACUUGACAUCGAACGGUUUCCAAGAACAGGUGUAGACGAGCACACACUAAACAACUUUCUUGGAGUAAGUACUUGACAUCGAAUUUAUCUCAGAACAAGUAUUACGACUCUCAUUUAUCAUAUAUCUAACAAUAUGAAUUUUAAUCUAUGCAUAAUAGAGACUAGCACGUAGGCUUAGGCGUGCUGCAGCUCGUUGCGGUUGCGGUACUAGUGCUGCGAUGAAUGUGCAUAUGCCACAGGAACAACAAUGCAACACACCUAUUGUGCAUGGUACAUCUUCUUUGGGAUGUAUAAUUUCAUUAAAUUUGUUGUUUACUUGAACUGAGCAAUUUUCAUGGUAUGAUAUAAUAAAUUAUGUGCACACAUCAUUUGAACAAUGUUGAUAGGAUCUGGAGGACAGAGCUCGUCUCGGCCAACCAUGGAAACUUUUCAAAGCGAUGAUGAUGAGGACGAAGAGGGGGUGGCCUAUUGACGGUCCUUAAGUAUCAAAUUUAAUUAUCAAAUAAAUAAAGAAAAGGAUCCAAAUGAAAUCAACAUCUAGACUUAGGGUUUUAUCUGACAGAAUUCCACGAGUUUUGGUGUUUGUCUAUUUCUGCAGGGGGUUAUCAGGAAAUAUGGAAGAAAGGCCCACACGUCGGGAUUACAUAGAGAUAUUAACGUGCCGCGCAAUUAUCUUACAUUUAGAAGACUCCAGAAGCCACGGGAAGAAAGCGGAGACCGAAAGGGGCCAGAGGCAGGGCGCCCGCCCUCCUGCCUUGGGCGCCCGCCCCCUCUCUGAGUCCAAUCAGGACUCUGUUUCGUGGGAGAUCUCCACCGACCUAAAGGAUCAAGGAUAACCCUUCAAUCUAUGUCGGUUUGAUCCAAUGGCCCAUAUUCACUUGAAGGGACUAUAAAACCAGACCCCCUGGCACCUGGAGGAGAGAGCCUCUCAAGCCUAAUUCAUUAUUCUUCAAGGGAGAAGAAGCCUCUCAUCAAGAUUAGAGCCACCACAUCAAUUAGACAUCUAGAUUAGCAUAGCUACAUAGGAUUAGAACUAGAAGGAGUCAAUCUUCGAUUGGUUUCCGGAUCUGUCAAGAGGAUUCUUGGUAAUUCUCUAAUUGUGCUUCUAAUUGUUCUUCUAAUAAUCUUUAUUCUUCAAUAUUAUGAAUAUGACUUUGUUCUACUUCAAUAUAUUGCUUAUGACUUUGCUCUACUUGCUUAUAUUCAAGAUUAUAUUGUUCUUAGUUUAUCAUAGUUAUGUACUUGCCUUAGUUAGAUUGGAUCUAUAUACAUGCUUAGGAUCGUAUAGCAUUUAUCCAUCGGAUCCAUGGGUAAAUGAUAGAUAUUGUGUAAGCGUGGUGCUUGUUGACGGUCCUUAAGUAUCAAAUUUAAUUAUCAAAUAAACAAAGAAAAGGAUCCAAAUGAAAUCAACAUCUAGACUUAGGGUUUUAUCUGACAAAAUUCCACGAGUUUUGGUGUUUGUCUAUUUCUGCAGAGGGUUAUCAGGAAAUACGGAAGAAGGCCCACACGUCGAGAUUAUAUAGAGAUAUUAACGUGCCGCGCUAUUAUCUUACAUCUAGAAGACUCCAGAAGCCACGGGAAGGAAGCGGAGGCCGAACGGGGCCAGAGGCAGGGCGCCCGCCCUCCUGCCCUGGGCGCCCGCCCUGACUUGGAGCCCAAUCAGGACUCUCUCUCUCGGGAGAUCUCCACCGACCUAAAGGAUCACGAAUAACUGUUCAAUCAAUGUCGGGUUGAUCCGACGGCCCAGGUUCACUUGAAGGGACUAUAUAACCAGACCCUCUGGCCCCUGGAGGAGACACACCCCUUGAUCAUUAUUCAUUAUUCAUAGACAGAGCAAAAGCUAGGGUUUAGAGAUGAGAGCUCUCCUCUCUUCUCUAAACUAGAGUAGAUCUAGAUAGUAGCAAGAUGGAGAGCGAAGGAGGAUUAGAGGAGAGGCUAGCCUGUCGGUUCUUCGUCCAGUUGUACUUCAUCAUGAUCAAGCUCUAAUCAAGCUUGCUCAUGGGAUGACUCUGGUAAUCUACUUCUAAUUCAUUAUGCAAUUACUAAUCAUGUAUGUUCUGGUUCACAACUCUUUUGAGUACUUCUGAUCUAUAGGACGCUAUAGGUUAGAGUUGUAGUAUAGGUGUAAGCGAGGUGCUUAGAUCUAGAUUACUUGUGGAUAUCCCCUGUCUAGCUGGAUCGUGUGGUAGGCCGCGUAGGUGACAGUUACGUUGGUCCUCUGUAGUCCACCUCUCGUUAGCAGGACGGGUAGGGUUUAUCGGCCUAUGGAUAAGCAUCCUUUGUGGUGUAAUCUUAUCACGUGGUUCAUCCCAGACAUAGACAUACCCCUUUGAAGUAGAGAAACCAUAGUUAUCCUCUCUAUUCUGCUACCAUCGCCCAUAUACUAGAAUUGCUCUACUCUCUAUUCCCAUAUUAUCACUCACUGUUAUCUUAUCUUUAAUAUUGUUCUUAUUCGAUUCUACCAUCUUUCCUAUUCACACCUAUCUAUCUAUCUUGGUUUAGUUAGAGCGUAGUUGGUUCUCCCGUUUCCCUGUGGAUACGAUAAAACCUUUAACUGGGUAAAAGCUUCAACGGUAUCCGUGCGAUUGCGGAUUAUCUGUGUGCGUAUAAAUACCAUAGUACACUCUAGUGCCAUGCUGGGGAUGACAACCUAGUAUUCAAGUGAUGUUAGCAAGUGUCAACAAGCAUUUUUGGUGCCGUUGCCGGGGAAACGGUUGCUGAGUUGACUACGAACUAGCUUAAUCAUUUUCUAAAAAAAAUAAAAAAUAUAUAUAUAUAUUUUCCUUAUAUCCUUUGCCUCAUCUCUGCUAAUCUUUCUUCUUAUCUAAUCCUUGAUCUCUGGUCUAUCAUGAAUUCAAACAUGUCUAUCUAUGAAUUUCAUAGACCUACGGGCACACAUCUCGAACCACCAAAAUCUUCAAAGCCUAUCAUAGCAUCUAGUUUUGAGAUAGACCCCGAAUACAUAGAAUUUGUUCAAAAACAACCUUUCUCAGGAGAAGGUGAGGAAAACCCAUACACACACCUAAGAGAGUUUUAUCGAGUCUGUGACCUCCUUCGCAUAGAAGGAAUGUCCGAUGAGACCCUUAAAUGGAAGCUCUUUCCGUUCUCUUUAACAAGAAAAGCUAGACAUUGGUACAAACUCAAAAUAGGGAGUGUUCAUGGAGAUUGGAAGGAGUUAUAUAGUAGUUUUCUUUCUAAAUAUUUUCCAAUCUCCAAAGUGGCGGAACUUCAGCGUGAGAUUAUUUCUUUUAGACAACUAAAAGAAGAAUCUCUUAGGAAAUCAUGGGACCGCUUUAUUAACCUUACUCUCACAGGCCCAAAGCUUUCUAUUCUAGAAGAAGUUCUUCUAAUUCACUUAUUUGAUGGCCUUAGUGGGGAAAAUAAGGAAACCUUGAAUACAACCUCUAGAGGAUCCUUCUAUCACCAACCUGCUAGUGAAGCUUGGAAUUUGAUUGAUUUAUUAAGUGGAAAGUCUCCUAGCUUUUAUAUCCCUGAGAAAGAGACAGAACCAGUUCCUAGACAAGAAGAAGAAGUUUCGAUAGCCAGAUCACAACCACUUCAAAUCCAAACUUUAGCUAUCGAUCCUAAACCAUCAAUACCCCAAAAUUCUCCAAGGGAGGAAGGAAUUCCAACCUUAAAUCUUUCAGAUGCUGAUGGUUUAGACUUCUGGUUCCAUAAGAGACCUUCAAGCAGGGAUAAUUCAAAUCCUCGCAAUAAUGGUUCUCUUAGAGAAUGUCCUGGUUCCUGUUAUGAAGAAGUCGAGGAUGACAUAUCAAGUGAAGGAGAGCUAAGCCAUAUUGAAAAUUCUAACACCUCCCCUUUCCUGAUCACAAGUUCUAAAUGGCUAGAAUGUGUAGAAUGGAUGGAUAAGGAAGAAGCCUUAAUGAAUUCUGACUUUGGUUCAAUUUCAAAUGGUGAGUCCUUGACUCCCUUUGAAGAUGGGAUUCAUCCAACUAUAGAAGAGGACAUAAGUGAGACCAAUCCAAGAGAAACUCUAAACAUUCAGAUUGGAGACGAAGAUAACAUUAAUGAGCAUGGAAUUUAUUUCAUAGCCACUUUGUUUACUCCAUGCUCAUAUGCAACAUCUUCCCAAUCUAUUGGUCUCUCCAACAUCACCACAUUUGAUAUCUCCAACCCCCUCUUCCUUACUAUUUAUAAAAACUUUAAAAGGGCGGUUGUCGAUGCAUAUGUCUAUAAUAAAUAUUGCAGAUCUCAUUGAGUUGAUCUUAAUAUAGGUCAGCGUUGGAAGGGAAACCACUUCGCCGACAUAAAUUGAUGGUUUCCCAAGGACAAGCUUAGUGUCCUAAAAUAAGCACUGAACAGAUUGUAACAUGAGCUUUUAACAUUACCUUGUGUAUUGAGCAUAUAAGGAUAAUUGUAAAAAUAUUCCUUCGGAUAUUCUUGUCACUAACCUUUCCAGGAUUGGAGCAAGAAGAUUGGAUGAAUGACAAGCACAAGGUAUGUCCAACCAAUCAUCAUGCAACACUGAAUUAAAUUCAUCCAAACUUGAAUUCUACAAAAUUCAAGCUUGGGGGAGUACUUUACAUAAAAACAUCCUUUGCCAUGUUGCUAUGUUGGUUGUCCCUACCUUUAAGACAUGCUCAAUUUGUUAAAUACUAAUCACACUACUUCAUCCCCACUUGAGUAGAUCUCUAUAAAUGCUGUCAUGUUACCUUUGUCUAUUUACUACUAAGUGUUAGUUUGGAAGUACUGCACAUACUUCUAUUGGCUUUUAAAUUAAGCAUGGUGCUUAGGUUAAACAGCCUUCCUUAAUCUGAUUAGACAUGGAGUCUAGUUUGGUUAUUGAACUAAAAACUGCUUGUGUAGACAUUGGUAUAUUUUUGUCGGACUAACCCCUGCAGAAAAAAUUUCAAUAUCGAUUUGGGAAGUCCUGAGAUAAACUCACAUCAGAGACGAAGAGAGUGACACAUGAAGUUUAUCAAUUUGCACAAGUAGGACAUAGCUCAUUCAUCAUAGAGAGAUCAUCCAUGGAGGGUGCCACAAACACGAUGCACAACCGCUAAGAAAGGAAAGCUUCCACAAGGUGAUACUGUACCAUCACUAUUCAGGCAAGGUAACAUCUUAAGGUACUUGACUAUCACUUUUAUAAGCUUCUCCUUGGUUCUGGCGUUCAUAUAAAUAAAAGAGACAAACAUGUAUGAUUUACAACUCUAAAUUAAUCAACCCAACUGGUUCAACAUGUUUAGUCCUUUAAUCUUUGUUCCUAGUACUACCUCCAUGAUCCCACACUCCUAAUCAUAUGAGCUAAAAUGUUACACAUUCAAUCAUUGAGAGAUAUAAAGAAAAAGACAUAUACAUAGAUAGAUUAUCUUUCCAUAAGGUUGAGCGAUCUGAUCUGACAAAUGUUAUAAGUGCUACACUCAUGAACUUUUCAUCGAUCAACUUUGUCUUGCUCACUAUGCUUAGGCUUAGAGAAGAACAAAUACACUUUAGGUUCUGUUGGUGUUUUCCACCAAUAGGACCCAUGCACUUGAUCUCUGCCUUGUAUCCAUGAGCAGGUACACUUCGAGCAAAACAUGGAGGAGUUUUAUAACUCUCAGACUCUACCAAGUGAAGGACCUGGAUCUACGAGCACAAACACACUGAGCAGGGUACUGCCAACACCGCACUUCGAACUGCUGGGCAAACGAAGAGGUGCAGACGUCAAGGUCCGCACCUGAAUCAAAUGACGCACCUGAAGAAUGAACACGGUGAGAAGUCUUGUUAAGAAGACUUAAAACAUUGAACCCUCGCCAAAAGGUAAGAUCGGUAGUUAUCCAUAUUUAUCCUUUCUGGAUUCCAUUUUCCCUUUAAUUAUUUACUUUCCUUAAAUAGAUUAUUAGUUAAUCAUGCUAUCUUGAAAAGAAAAUAAAAAUGUUAAAAAAAUACUAAGCCCCAUGUGAGUAUACGAGUGACAUAAAACCCAUAAGUACCUUCACUGUGGUGGCAUAAAAAUAAAAUAAAUAUUUCUUUUCUGCUUUAUAAAAUAAAAAUAUAAAAACAGGGAGUAAUAUUUAUUGAGGAAGCUCAACAUGAUGAAGGCUAGAUAUUUAUGCUAACACUUAAUUAGUUCCACAAGCUUUGUUGUCUAUUUGAGCUCCACAGAAUUUAAGAAUCAAGAAGACUAGCACAUGGAGGACAUUCUAAUCGCUGUCAGAAUACUGCUGACUUUCAAAUACACCUCUGCCACCUGCUAGCUACAUCAAGAGAAAUUACGUCAAAAUUCAGCUUGGGGGAGAGCACCCCCAUUUAUCUCGCUAAGUAUUUCUACCUAUCUUUAUACUUAUAUUAUGUUAGAAUAUUAAAAUACAUAAACUAUGAAAAACCAAAUAAAGAUUUUGUGCUUAUAUAUAUCUUUUGCUUAGUGUGUUUAAUAAAUAAAUAAAGUGGCUAUGCUAAUCUGAAUCUUAAUAAUAAAACUCUAGCAUGGAUAUGAUGAAUAGUUGCUCUGCCUAAUUUGCAAAUUUGAAGUUCUCUAUCAAGUUUAGACAUAACUGUUAUAAUUUAAAGCUUGCUCUAGAUCUAAACUUGUGGGAUGAAAACUUGAUCUAAAAUCUAAGUUGUUAACGGAUAUGAUAUGGGAAGGUUGAGCUGCUGUUUAUCUGUUCCUAGAGAUGCUAGAAUUCUGGAGAAUUUUAUCUUUGAAAAAUAUGUAAAAUAUUGCAUGAUGAGUUCCUGUAUGAUGAGAGUUUAAAUUCCUACCACAGCCAUAUAUACAUGCUUGCUAGACUUUGAGCCACACAUUUACUAUUUACUGCUUAUGAGCAUUGAGUGUGGUCAAGCUGUGUAGACCCUUAGGAGCUUGUCAUGUGGUUAAAUCAAGAUUCACUUGCACGUUCACUCAUAUAUGCUACUUCUACUCUGGAAGUACCAUCCACAUAUAUCCAUCCAUGUCCAUCUACAGAACCACCCAAAAAUAUUCUACUCCUAAUCCGGGAGAGAAUAGCCAAAAAUAUUUCUGUUUUCCCUUGUGAAAUAAAUGCUCAAGUUAUCUUGCUACUACCAAUUGCUAUAUUAUCUCAAGAGAUGAGUGCUCUGGAAAAAAGAAAAGAGAAGAAAAGAAAAAAAAAUUAACGAGGAAAUAAAAAGGGGCAAGUGCCCGGAACCUCGAAAGAAAGAAAAAGUGAGACGAGAGGUAAAAAUGGACAAGUGUCUGACAGUAGAAUUAGGGGUACAAGAUACCCACCUGAGAGGAAAGAAAAAGAAGAGCAUCUCAUUCUUCUCAUAAAGUUUCAAAAAGCAAGGAAGGUAUGUAUCCCCUCAAAAGAGCAAAAGUAGAAUUAGACUUUCACCAUUGUUAGCACCAUCAUCACCAUACACCAUUCAUUCGCCACACAUGCACAUCUUGAUUUGGCUUAUUGAUUUGUUUCUUUGGAUCCAUGGUUUGACUAUACAAUAAAUGUCUUUUAAGUAUGUAUACUUUAUCUCCCACCUAUGAGCUCAGAUAUUAAAGCCUUAUUAGAGUAGGGUGAGAGAGAAGGCAAUGUCACUAUGCCUUAUACCACAAAUACCACAUAUCUUGAGAGAAGGCAUAUACCAUCACUGCCUUUGUAAGGAUCCAGAAAUACCACAAAAGAGAGAUUUAGAGAUUCAUACAAGGAAUCUCUGAGUUUUAUUUGAAAAUCUGCAAAAACUCCAGAGCUAUAGCUGAUCAAGAAUAAGAGACAUGGCACUUGGCUAGACUGUUCUAUCUUUUAACUACUCAAGAUAGAAGUGAUUGUUACAAGUCCCAUGGUGAAACGUAAAGUAAGUAAGUUUUAGUUCUUGACAGUUUACUCUAACUCAGAGAUGAGAUCUUAUUUAAAAGCAUGUGUACCAUCAAUUUUUUAAGAUAUUGCAACAACUUCUGAUCCAUUGCUGAGUCUAUCCUUGCUCAGGGACGAGCAAGAGGUAAGCUUGGGGGAGUUUGUUGACGGUCCUUAAGUAUCAAAUUUAAUUAUCAAAUAAACAAAGAAAAGGAUCCAAAUGAAAUCAACAUCUAGACUUAGGGUUUUAUCUGACAUAAUUCCACGAGUUUUGGUGUUUGUCUAUUUCUGCAGGGGGUUAUCAGGAAAUACGGAAGAAAGACCCACACGUUGGGAUUAUAUAGAGAUAUUAACGUGCCACGCAAUUAUCUUACAUCUAGAAGACUCCAGAAGCCACGGGAAGGAAGCAGAGGCCGAAUGGGGCCAGAGGCAGUGCGCCCACCCUCCUGCCCUGGGUGCCCGCCCUGACUUGGAGCCCAAUCAAGACUCUUUCUAUCGGGAGAUCUCCACCGACCUAAAGGACCAAGGAUAACCGUUCAAUCAAUGUCGGUUUGAUCCGACGGCCCAGGUUCAAUUGAAGUGACUAUAUAACCAGACCCCCUAGCCCCUGGAGGAGACACACCCCUUGAUCAUUAUUCAUUAUUCAUAGAUAGAGCAAAAGCUAGGGUUUAGAGAUGAGAGCUCUCCUCUCUUCUCUAAACUAGAGUAGAUCUAGAUAGUAGCAAGAUGGAGAGCCAAGGAGGAUUAGAGGAGAGGCCGGCCUGUUGGUUCUUCCUCCAGUUGUACUUCGUCAUGAUCAAGCUCUAAUCAAGCUUGCUCAUGGGAUGACUCUGGUAAUCUACUUCUAAUUCAUUAUGCAAUUACUAAUCAUGUAUGUUCUGGUUCACAACUCUUUUGAGUACUUCUAAUCUAUAGGACGCUAUAGGUUAGAGUUGUAGUAUAGGUGUAAGCGAUGUGCUUAGAUCUAGAUUACUUGUGGAUAUCCCCUGUCUAGUUAGAUCGUGUGGUAGGCCGCGUAGGCAACAAUUACGUUGGUCCUCUGUAGUCCACCUCUCGUUAGCAGGACGGGUAGGGUUUAUCAGCCUAUGGAUAAGCAUCCUUUUGUUGUAAUCUUAUCACGUGGUUCGUCCCAGACAUAGACAUACCCCUUUGAAGUAGAGAAACCAUAGUUAUCCUCUCUAUUCUGCUACCAUUGCCCAUAUACUAGAAUUGCUCUACUCUCUAUUCCCAUAUUAUCACUCACUGUUAUCUGACCUUUAAUAUUGUUCUUAUUCGAUUCUACCAUCUUUCCUAUUCACACCUAUCUAUCUAUCUUGGUUUAGUUAGAGCGUAGUUGGUUCUCCCGUUUCCCUGUGGAUACGAUAAAACCUUUAACCGGGUAAAAGCUUCAAUGGUAUCCGUGCGCUUGCGGAUUAUCUGUGUGUGUAUAAAUACCAUAGUACACUCUAGUGCCACGCUGGGGAUGACAACCUAGUAUUCAAGUGGUGUUAGCAAGUGUCAACAGUGCUUAUACCGUAUUUAUCUGCGAUUGUACCCAAUAUGCCAGAUCGUGGGGUAGUUCGUGAUAGUGACAGCUUCAUUGAUUCUUAUAUAGUCCCCCUCUCGUGUAUUGGGCUGGCAGAGCAAUAUUAUUACAGGGGAGUGAUUGCUAUGUUUCUCAUUUACAUUGCUAAUAUCACUAUGCAUGGGUGUAGUCUUGUCUUGCAAUGAUUGCUAAGUAUGCUUGCACUAAUUAUGAUAAUGCUAGACUAUAUAGUUGACAAUAACUUAGGGAAUAUUCUUGUAGUUCGUUCUAAUACCAUGCUAAUGACUUUCUAGAGUAUCUAAUUGAGGUGCUUAUCAUAUUUAUUAUGUGGCUAGAUCAAAUUAAUUAUACUUGUCACUAUUCAUUAUUUCAUAUAUCUUUUUAUGUGACACUUAUCCCUGUAUGAAAGAGUUAGAUAAAUUUUCUCAAUUAUACAUGCAAUGAUAGAUACUCAAUCUCAUAUUCUAUUCUGUAAUCAAUAUUGAUGAUUGUUAAUCCCUUCCCAGUGGUAAAAAUAUAAAUAACGAUACCUGGAAUACUUCCCGGUUAAAAUGCUACAUCGGUAUUAAUCUGUGCGCUUGCAGAUCUCAUUCAUUAUUUAUUUAGAAGAGCAAUUGCAUAUUUCAAUACCACGUCUCUCAUGUCAUGCUGGGGAUGACAACUUGGCUUAAGUGGUAUGAGGGAUAGGUUUGGCAUUUUUGGCACCGUUACUAGAUUUAGAGAACUUAGUCUACUCUUGGUAAUGAUGUUAAGAAUACCCAACAAGCAUUUUUGGCGCCGUUGUCGGGGAAGGUUGAUUACUAAUCAGGAAUGGAAUAAAGGAUUUUGAGUUAUCAUUCGCAUCACUAAUAUGAUUGAGCUUAUCUAUUCUCUCAUACAGUUUUACCCCGAUAUUUUUCUAUUUUAUCUUAUGCAGGGGAAUGUAUGAAUAGAAGACAUCUUCCAGGAAAUUUUGUUGACAAUCCCGAAGCAUUAUUCAAGAAGACGAGAGCCAAGCUCAAGAGGAGAUCAUCAACACUUCAGCAAGAAGCUUCAUCCAAUCAAGAAGAUCACUGGAACUUGUCUUCAGAGUUCGAAGCCGUGGCGAACAAAUCAAUCCGCGAGUUCUCAGCUCCCACUACGAACAACAUCCGCACUGGACCUGCUACAGAGAUCGAUGGAAACUUUGAGCUCAAGCCUGGUCUUAUCAACAUGGUGCAAUCCAACCAGUUCUGUGGGAAGCCACAUGAAGAUGCUAGUGCUCAUCUACAACACUUCCUGGAGAUUUGCAAAACAUUCACCAUAUCAGGAGUCUCCAGAGAUGCUAUACUACUUUGCCUCUUCCCAUUCUCACUGUUAGGAAGAGCGAAGCAGUGGUUCUACGCUACAAAGGAGAAGAAUACUACGUGGGCACUCUGCUCAACAAACUUCCUGGCUAAGUUCUUUCCCAUGGGCAAGACCAAUGCUCUCCGUGGGAAAAUUACAAGUUUUCAGCAACAAAAUGAUGAAUCUGUUCCAGAAGCAUGGGAGCGCUUCCAAGACUACAUCCUAGAAUGUCCCCAUCAUGGAAUGGAGAGUUGGCUACUGAUGCAGACGUUUUAUCAUGGGCUCGGCAACAGUGCCCGAGAGACCAUGGAUGCUGCAGCUAGAGGAGCAUUCUUAUCACUUACCAUAUCACAAGCCACAGCUCUUGUGGAGAAGAUGGCGUCCAACCAAGCCUGGAAUGAAGAGAGGACCCAGACACGCAAGAGAGGUGGAGGUAUGCAUCAGCUCAAGGAGGUAGACAUGCUGUUUGCAAAGCUAGACCUGCUCAUGAAGAAGCUCGACGAUAGAGCUGGAGAUAAGAAAGAAGUUAUGCACAUCUACGACUCUCACAUGAUUUGUGAGGAGUGUGGAGAUACUGGACACUCAGGCAAUCACUGCCCUGAGAUGCUUGAGGAUGUGAACUACAUCAACAACAACAACAACAACUACUACUACUACAACCGUCCUCAACAAAAUCAAGGCUGGAAUCAACAGAGGCCUAACUACUCUGGUAAUUAUUAAGGUAACAAUUCUUACAACAAUAAUAAUAAUUUUCCACUUCUGAGAGAGUUAGUGUCUAAUCAAGGAAAGCUAAUGGAUAACCUAUCUAAGAAAUUGGCAUCUAAUGAUAAAAUGCUAAAAAUAUAAAUAAUAGAAUGGAUAAUUUCUCUACUGCCAUCAAGAAUCAAAUUAGCUUUCAUAAAAUGAUUGAAUCCCAGUUAAAUCAAAUAGCUGCUGUUGUUCCUACUACUAACCCCGGUAUACCAUCACAACUGGAAGGAUUAGAAUCUGCAAAUCUUGUAGACAUGUUUGAUGCAGGUAUUUAGAGUAACCCCGUCACUGAAUUCAUUACUGACCUUCUGCCGGUCAAGAGAGGUGAUCCAGGACACCCCGUCAUCCCGAUCUCCAUCGGCAUGGUGGACGUCCCAGAAGCACUCUGCGACUUUGGCUCUAGUGUCAACAUUAUACCCAGGGUACUCUAUGAAAAAAUCUUUACAUAUCCUUUAUUAGAGACAACCAUGUGUUUGCAGUUUGCAGAUCAGACGAUAAGUUUUCCAAAAGGAAUAUUAAAGAACAUUUGUGUCCGAGUUGGUACCUUGUACGCCCCAGCAGACUUCGUAGUGGUAGAGACCGGUAAUGAUGAGAGAGCACCUAUCAUCUUAGGGAGGCCAUUCUUAAACACCACGGGAGCUAUCAUCUACGCCAGUGCUGCCAAGAUCAGUUUCUACAUCAAAGGGAGGAAGGAGACAUUUUUCUUCAAGAACAAGACUACACAAAUCCCAGAUCAAUCCAGACGUGAAUCAAGGAAGAGGACCAAUAGGAGGAACAGGAACAAGCAAGUGUUGACCGAGUCAGCUAAGAUGGUCACUGUAGUUCAUGGAGGCCAAGAUCAUAAACUCAAGUCACCGUUUUUGACUAAGAAGGACGACCCAGGAAUGCCAAGCAUCUAUUGCUCCAUAAAUGGAUACAGCUUCUACAAGACGUUUUGCGACACCGGAUCGGGCGUCAACAUAAUGGCCGUAGUCACCUAUCGGCUCUUGUUCGGAACCAUGCCCCUAAGACCAUCAUACAUUCAGCUCCAGAUGGCAGAUCAGACAUUUCGAGAGGUUAAAGGAACAAUAAUUGAUGUCCCAGUCAAAAUAGACGAUCAUUUUGUCUACACAGACUUUCAAGUUAUUGACAUGGGAGAAGAUGAGUACGAUCCACCCAUCAUCCUUGGAAGACCGUUCCUCAGCACUGUUAAAGCAAUUAUCUACAUUGGAACCGGAGAAGUCCAUAUGCACUUCCCCUCAGAGAGGUACGCCAUUAUUUUACUGACCCUAACUAUAUCUUUGAAGAAUCUAAGCAGGUAAGAAAAUAACGCAACCGCAACCAGAGGAGGCAGAUCAUCAAGGACGGAUGGGCAGACUACGAAGGAGAAGUUGUAAGAUCAGAAGACGUAGAGUUUAAAUAGAAUUAUCCAGAGGAGACCGAAGCACCGAGUCACCUAUCUUGGAAUGGCACACGAUUUAUGUUAAUUGUGUGUUGGUUGUAUCAAAUUAGGUUCCCUCUCUUAGGAGCCAAGCUUAUAGACUUGACUAUUAGUUUUUGAAUGUUUGAGCAUCCAUGUCGAUGCUUGAUAUGUAAACCCAUAUCCAGACCCUUAAGUGUUUGCAUAUACCACGGUUGUCCUACACCAGUUUGCAAAUAUCCUUGUCCAGCAAACUAGCUAGUGUCCUACACCAGUUUGCAAAUAUCCUUGUCCAGCAAACUAGCUAGGAUAAGUCCUCGCUACAUAAAGCAUUUGACUAUAGUUGUUCCUUGCUAGUUACGGAGACCAUACCAAAUCCAUGUUGGCCCUCCCGGUUGCCUCUCCCAAAGCUUAGUGUAAUACCCGAUUUUAAAGACAAAACCAGAUAUGCACCAUAUGCGAGUUUUAAAAGCCAAGCCUCACCUAUAGCUAAAAAUAAGGGGUAAUAUCAAAAGACAAUGCAUAAAUUAUAUAACGUACUUAGUAUAAAAGAGAUAACCUUUGAUAAAAAACAACGGAUAGACAACUCCAAACUUCAGGUAUUAACUUCACUCUACAGGAUCCAACUGACUGGUUGAUCACAAGCCCAAAACUUCUCUUGAGGUGUGGGGGAAAUUGCAAGAGUGAACACAUAUCGUACUCAACAUGUAUAACCAGGGGUUCAUGAGGCUCAAAUAGCUGACACUGGUUUGACUGCAUGUAGCUUUUAUAUGUAGAUAGCAUAUUUAUCAUUGGAUAGCAAAUGUCAAGGUAGCAUAAUUAAAUCCCAUAACCACAUGAUCAAUGUAUACAAGAAUUAAGAAUAACACAUAUAAACAACAUAAUAAACCAUCCUUUAUUAUCAUUAAUCAUGUUCAUCAGUGUCCAUCUAUUCCGUCAGUUUUUCGGGCCGCCCGUAUCCGUGGGCACGGCUAGUAUACCAGAUUUAACACUCUGCAGAGGUUAUACAUCUUUACCCAUGAGUCAUGAUUUACCCUUUCGCCCGAGGCCCGUCGACCUCAUAGCUCACAUCCGAGGAAAGCCGGCAGGGUUCACUAUGAAGUCUUUCAAAGGUUCGUCUAACAAGUUAGGGCCGGAAGGUUUCCUUUGCACACAGAUAUAGAUACCCCCCUUCCAAAUGGCACAAUGACGCGCAGCCUAUACACAUAAGGACAGGGGCUCGCACUAUACCCAAAACGGUUCAGCCCCUCCGCCCAUUCGGGUAACCUCUAACAAGCUAGAAAAUCUUACUCAUACUUGACUAAAGCCAGAGCCAUAUAGCCCUCAUGGUUGUACGAGUUGUCCCAACUUUUGCCAAGGGAUAAGUCCUUAUGGAGGGUUAAGAUCAAUCCAGCAAAAGCCAGAGUUCUUUCCACCCUUUAUAUUCAAGUUGCUAGAAAGCUUAUUUUAUUGUUUAUUGUAUAUUCAAAUAUUCAUGUUACAAGAUCAUGGAUUAUAUUCAAGCACUAGCAAGAACUACCCAAAUGCAUAUCCAAAAUAGGCAACAAGGAAUUCAGGAUAACAAUCAUCUAUGAUUUUGCUAAGGUCAUCAAGGUGGACACAUGCAUAUGAUAAAUGUUAUAUUAAUUGUGUAUAGGAAACAAGGAUGAUCCCCAGUUAUACUUGCCUUGAUCAAAGCUCUCCUGAGCCUGAUGUUGGUCGUCAAAAGCUUGACCUUGAUCACCAACGUAAAGCUCACCGACUAAACUCGAUCAUCAAUCAACAACACGCAAUCCAAUGUAGGCAAUCAUAAACGAAGCAAACAAGCUAUAAUUAGAACAAUACACCAAACAGUGGUAAAACAAAUAUAAAAGUUUAUUAAAGUAUUCUACGCAGCGCUACGAUCACAUAAACGUAAAGUUCGCGAAAAUCGGAGCUAAAACGGAAAAGUUAUGAAUUUUCUAAGAUUUUAUGUUGAAAAGAAAUUAAUUAAUUAAAGUCACGAAAUUAAAAAGUUUGAAACUAAGUAAACAAUUUUACUAACAUGUAGAGCUCAUGAUUAUGAACGUUACGCAAUUUGAAUGGGUCAAAACGGAAUUAAAAUGAAUACUUUUUGAUCAAUUAAAAUCUAGUGGCAAUUCUGUAAAUAGCGAAAACGUAAUUAGAACUGAGCCGAGAGAAAAUACGCUUUCAAAAUUGAGAAACGGCUUUCCCAGAUGACGCCAAGGACCGCAGGUUGAGCAUUGAAUCUUCCAGGGGCUCUUUAAGAAAAACACCAGCGAAGGGGUAUCUUCUAAUCUGGAUCGUUGAUCCACGAUCCAACGAUUGAGAUUCGAUCUAGGGGGAGGGAGAGGGGAUGGCUGGCCGGAAGAGAAACAACGGCGCGGUGGUGCCAUUGACGAGAGUCCUGCUCCUCGCCGGCGUUCGUGGAGAAGGCGCUAGGGACCAUGGUUUUCGAUGGGAAAAGAACCAGGGCGUAGAGGACCUCUAUGCGAACUCACCUAGGGGCUUCACGGGUCGGGGAGGAGCUCGGAAAAGGAUGUUCGACGCGAGGUGGCGCUCGGGUGCUCUGCAGACAGUUCGGGAAGGUUUAAGAGCAAUAGAUCGCGCUAGAGAGUAAAAGGAAGGGCUCAGCAUCUUCUUCACCUCAACCCGAAGCUCGGCAAGUGGUUUUCGGUGCUCUGGACGCAGCAGGUGGGGAAGCCCACGACGGCGGCGAAUUCGUUCAUCGGAGAGAUCUGAACCAAGGCGAGAGAGCUGCUGGGGCGGCUUCACGUCGCGUUAAACGGAAGAGGGGGUCGAGAGGGAGGGCACGGGGCUUUAUUGGCCUGGAGAAGAUCUCCUAACGCGUGAAAUCCCGACCUGAGCGGGAUUCGGUUUCCACCGAGAGCCCGGGGUCGGUGUGGACUCGAGGGAGAAGAAAGGAAGGGUGGGAGGGGAGACUGACACGCGGGCCCGGGAUGUCAGCGAACAGAGAGAGGAAGGGGAGGGAAGGGCGCGCGGCUGGGCUGUUGGGCCCAAGCAAGCUGGGCCGCGGGAAAAGAAGGAGGAGGCCUUCAGGCCGAUUUUCCAGGGAGAGGUGAGGGUUUCCUAUUAUUUUUUUCUUUUCUUUUGUUUAUUUCAAAGCCAUUUUCAAAUUCGUUAUAAAAUCACUUUGAAUUAUUUUUGAACUUUAAUAAAGCCACUCAGCACAAUAAUUAAAAUGCAUAAGCAUGAGUGCACAAAAAUGUUGCUACACCCUAUGAUUGAUUUUAAAUGACUAAAAAUAUUAUUUUUCCUAUAUUUUCAUGAGCACAAAAUACAAAAUUAAAUCAUUUUUCUCCUAUUUAAAAAGUUGUAGAUUUUUGGGUGUUACAAAUCUACCCCCUUAAAAUGAAUCUCAUCCUCGAGAUUCGAAAGAGCAUGGAUUCCAAAAGAGAAACAGGAAAAGAUCUUAAUACUCUUUCAACUUCACACUUGCAUUCCAACUGCAAACUCUUGUGUCUCGGGAUCAUAACUUAUGAACAAAGCUCCCAUAAGAUGUUUAUUAUUCAGAUUUGAUCAAAGUCUAUCUUGAAUUCCAACCUUUUGACUUACAACUCAAGAUCGUGAUAGCUUAGCAUAGAUUUGCCUCCUCAGGUAGGAGUGGACCACCUUGAUACUCGAUUCUUUUCCUUGAUGGUGCGGUUGAGAAAAUUUUCCACUGGAUAUCAUAGAUCACUCCUUUGUGUGCACAUGACCAUAAGAUACAUGAUAGUUUUAAAAACAUCAUCCCGUGAUAUCAAGGUACUACCCCCCUUAAGACGAGGUUGAUUGGGGGACACUAGGGACUAGUUCUCCUAUCCUUUUUAGAUGCUACACAUCAUAGUCUUUUAAAUUCCUUGUACCAAGUCUCUUAAUCCAGGGUUGGUUUCAACACUAAGUUCCAUCUAUUGGUACCUUUAUCGCAAUUAAGUUGUUUCACUCUCAUAUUGUAUAUGUAACUUUGUAGCCUUUGGUGUCAUCUGAUCCUCAUACACAACUCUUAAUCCAUGAGUAUCAGCAAUGACAUAUACCUCCAUGGAUAUUCUCUAAAUGAGAUGAUAUUCUUGAACCAAAAGAAAUUUACCCAGCGUUUGUGAUACUCACGUAUGAUCCAACACUAGUCAAUCCUUCUCGUUGUAACUCCUUUAACUAGGAUAUCCCCCUUAAGAAAAGUCAACUAGGGGACAAAAGGAAGGUAGCUUGCAUAUUUUCCAGACAAGUUGACUAGCACUGAGAGCUUUUGACAUCCCAAAGAACUUGUGUGCAAAAGAAUAAAUAGGUAUCCUGAAAUUUUCUCAUGAUAUGGAAACACCAGUGUAGUAAAACAGGUAUAACUCUUAUUCUGUCAUUCCAAUAGAGUUGUAGCUUAUACUGUUACAAAACUUAUGAAAUUCCCUACAACUUUCAUGUAGAAGACCUCCUUAGAUUCUGUCUUUAAGCUUAGGUAAAACAGUCAAACUUAAUAUCCAUCCUGACAAUGUCUCAGCAAAGGUGCAGUAACUUCCAGAGGUUAUAUCUCGAGCUCCUUAACUCAUCUGGAGAUGAUCCUUAUAUUGUUGAAAAGCUUAUGAAAUCCUCUACAUCUUUCGUGUACAACUCUUUCCCAGAUUCUGAAGUUAAUUUAGCUGAAAGUAGGAAAUACCAGAUCUGUCCAGAUUUUGAAACAGAAAAGAAACAUCCAAGUUUAAAUGUCAUAUCUCCGGUUCUACUUGUACAAUAAAGUUCCAGCUUAUACCGUUGGAAAGCCUAGCAAAUUGUCUAAUAAUUUUCUAUAGAACACGUUUCCAAAUUCUAUAGUUACAUAUGUCUAAACAGUAAGCAACCGAAACUGGUCCAGAUUCUUGACAGCCCAUCUGUAUCAUCUUGUGAUUUUUGUAACUUCCAAAUCAUUCUAGCUAUGAGGGUGAUUCUUGCGGUCAGAGAAAGAUCUUGAAGUCUAGUUGUUCCUAGAAAAAUUUGAUAAACUUUGCAUGAUCAGAACUUGAGAUACACCAGCAUUAUGGCAGACUACUUGAGAAAUCAGCAAGGGAUAGAAACAAGAGAUACCCAAACCCAACUGCUUAUUUCAUUACUCCUUAUGCCUUAGACCUAUAAACUAAAAGAUAUUAUGGAGAAAUCCUACAACAUCAUCGCACUCAUUACAAAGAUCCAAAUCAAGCAUAAGCAUAAUAACAAAACAAUUAAGCAUUGAAGGUUCACACUUCACUCAACUUGCGAUACUAUCGUUCUCUUCAUAAUAAGGGUAAGGAUCCUAAGAUUCUCUUUCAACUACGUAAAGCAGGUGGUAAGAAAAGAUUCUAAUAGCAUACCAAAUCAAAGAGUGAAGGUGGGAACAAGUACUUUUAAAAUAAGCAACAAGGUAAGGAUGAAUAGCGAUGGAAAGGAUAUAGUGGAGAGAAAAAUAUCAAGGCUUACAAAACAAGGAUUUUAUAACAAUUUCAAAAUCUUAAGACGACCAAUUUCUAACUAGGCUUGCAUCCUACAGCCAGCAUUGCUUUGAUACCACUUUGUAAUACCCGAUUUUAAAGACAAAACCAGAUAUGCACCAUAUGCGAGUUUUAAAAGCCAAGUCUCACAUAUAGCUACAAAUAAGGGGUAAUAUCAAAAGACAAUGCAUAAAUUAUAUAACGUACUUAGUAUAAAAGAGAUAACCUUUGAUAAAAAACAGCGGAUAGACAACUCCAAACUUCGGGUAUUAACUUCACUCUACAGGAUCCAACUGACUGGUUGAUCACAAGCCCAAAACUUCUCUUGAGGUGUGGGGGAAAUUGCAAGAGUGAGCACAUAUCGUACUCAACAUGUAUAACCAGGGGUUCAUGAGGCUCAAAUAGCUGACACUGGUUUGACUGCAUGUAGCUUUUAUAUGUAGAUAGCAUAUUUAUCAUUGGAUAGCAAAUGUCAAGGUAGCAUAAUUAAAUCCCAUAACCACAUGAUCAAUGUAUACAAGAAUUAAGAAUAACACAUAUAAACAACAUAAUAAACCAUCCUUUAUUAUCAUUAAUCAUGUUCAUCAGUGUCCAUCUAUUCCGUCAGUUUUUCGGGCCGCCCGUAUCCGUGGGCACGGCUAGUAUACCAGAUUUAACACUCUGCAGAGGUUGUACAUCUUUACCCAUGAGUCAUGAUUUACCCUUUCGCCCGAGGCCCGUCGACCUCUUAGCUCACUUCCGAGGAAAGCCGGCAGGGUUCACUAUGAAGUCUUUCAAAGGUUCGUCUAACAAGUUAGGGCCGCAAGGUUUCCUUUGCGCGCAGAUAUAGAUACCCCCUUCCAAAUGGCACAAUGACGCGCAGCCUAUACACAUAAGGACAGGGGCUCGCACUAUACCCAAAACGGUUCAGCCCCUCCGCCCUUUCGGGUAACCUCUAACAAGCUAGAAAAGCUUACUCAUACUUGACUGAAGCCAGAGCCAUAUAGCCCUCAUGGUUGUACGAGUUGUCCCAGCUUUUGCCAAGGGAUAAGUCCUUAUGGAGGGUCAAGAUCAAUCCGGCAAAAGCCAGAGUUCUUUCCACCCUUUAUAUUCAAGUUGCUAGAAAGCUUAUUUUAUUGUUUAUUGUAUAUUCAAAUAUUCAUGUUACAAGAUCAUGGAUUAUAUUCAAGCACUAGCAAGAACUACCCAAAUGCAUAUCCAAAAUAGGCAACAAGGAAUUCAGGAUAACAAUCAUCUAUGAUUUUGCUAAGGUCAUCAAGGUGGACACAUGCAUAUGAUAAAUGUUAUAUUAAUUGUGUAUAGGAAACAAGGAUGAUCCCCAGUUAUACUUGCCUUGAUCAAAGCUCUCCUGAGCCUGCUACUGGUCGCCAAAAGCUUGACCUUGAUCACCAACGUAAAGCUCACCGACUAAACUCGAUCAUCAAUCAACAACACGCAAUCCAAUGUAGACAAUCAUACACGAAGCAAACAAGCUAUAAUUAGAACAAUACACCAAACAGUGGUAAAACAAAUAUAAAAGUUUAUCAAAAUAUUCUACGCAGCGCUACGAUCACAUAAACGUAAAGUUCGUGAAAAUCGGAGCUAAAAUGGAAAAGUUAUGAAUUUGCUAAGAUUUUAUGUAGAAAAGAAAUUAAUUAAUUAAAAUCACGAAAUUAAAAAGUUUGAAACUGAGUAAACAAUUUUACUAACAUGUAGAGCUCAUGAUUAUGAACCUAACGCAAUUUGAAUGGGUCAAAACGGAAUUAAAAUGAAUAUUUUAUGAUCAUUUUAAAUCUAGUGGCAAUUCUGUAAAUAGCAAAAACGUAAUUAGAACUGAGCCGAGAGAAAAUACGCUUUCAAAAUUGAGAAACGACUUUCCCAGAUGACGCCAAGGACCGCGGGUUGAGCAUUGAAUCUUCUAGGGGCUCUUUAAGAAAAAGACCAGCGAAGGGGUAUCUUCUAAUCUCGAUCGUUGAUCCACGAUCCAACAACUGAGAUUCGAUCUAGGGGGAGGGAGAGGGGAUGGCUGGCCGGAACAGAAACAACGGCGCGGUGGCGCCAUUGACGAGAGUCCUGCUCCUCGCCGGCGUUCGUGGAGAAGGCGCUAGGGACCAUGGUUUUCGAUGGGAAAAGAACCAGGGCGUAGAGGACCUCUGUGCGAACUCACCUAGGGGCUUCACGGGUCGGGGAGGAGCUCGGAAAAGGAUGUUCGACGCGCGGUGGCGCUCGGGUGCUCUGCAGACAGUUCGGCGAAGGUUUAAGAGCAAUAGAUCGCGCUAGAGAGUAAAAGGAAGGGCUCAGCAUCUUCUUCACCUCAACCCGAAGCUCGGCAAGUGGUUUUCGGUGCUCUGGACACAGCAGGUGGCGAAGCCCACGACGGCGACGAAUUCGUUCAUCGUUGAGAUCUGAACCGAGGCGAGAGAGCUGCUGGGGCGGCUUGACGUCGCGUUAAACAGAAGAGGGGGUCGAGAGGGAGGGCACGAGGCUUUAUUGGCCAGGAGAAGAUCUCCUAACGUGCGAAAUCCCGACCUGAGCGGGAUUCGGUUUCCACCGAGAGCCCGAGGUCGGUGUGGACUCGAGGGAGAAGAAAGGAACGGUGGGAGGGGAGACUGACACGCGGGCCCGGGAUGUCAGCGAACAGAGAGAGGAAGGGGAGGGAAGGGCGCGCGGCUGGGCUGUUGGGCCGAAGCAAGCUGGGCCGCGGGAAAAGAAGGAGGAGGCCUUCAGGCCGAUUUUCCAGGGAGAGGUGAGGGUUUCCUAUUAUUUUUUUCUUUUCUUUUCUUUAUUUCAAAGCUAUUUUCAAAUUCGUUUUAAAAUCACUUCGAAUUAUUUUUGAACUUUAAUAAAACCACUCAGCACAAUAAUUAAAAUGCAUAAGCUUGAGUGCACAAAAAUGUUGCUACACCCUAUGAUUGAUUUUAAUUGACUAAAAAUAUUAUUUUUCCUAUAUUUUCAUGAGCACAAAAUACAAAAUUAAAUCAUUUUUCUCCUAUUUAAAAAGUUGUAAAUUUUUGGGUGUUACACUUAGCUUGUGUAAUGCAAUCUCUUAUUGCCUGAUCUCUGAAUCUUUUGCUUAAAAUCAUGUCUCAACUCAAUCUCUGAUCGGUGUAGCAUUUUUACCUUUGGAGUUUGCUUAAUUCAUCUCCAACCUUCCCAAGUAUUGGGAUUCUUAUCGGCUUUGAUCUCAUGUUCCUACCCAACAUGACCGCAUCUCAUAAAUUCAUUGUUGGGUAAUGGCCUUGAUAGGCAUAAGGCGUAUCCAUUUCUGUAUUGUGCCGUGUUCUCAUCCUUUAACCUUCUACUUGUUACCUCCAAAUCUUGCUGUCAUCUUUACUUGCUUUAAUUUUAUCUUGCACAUGAUUCUUGUCCAUGCAAGACCUACCUAUGUCAUGUGAGAUUUCACAUUGGUUGUAAGAUCAAUAAUAUUGUCAUGAUUAACGAUUGGCGGUGCCGUGACGAAACCAAGAGCAUCCUGUGGCUAUAGACACAAGGUCGUGCUGCUCGGCACGCACUGGUAUCGUGGUUGCUAGUCAUGAUCUAUUAUAAAACUACACCACUGUGUUAUCUUCUCAUGGUCUUGUCCUUGGAUAUCUUUCCUUAUCUUCAAUCAAAGGUUCUAUAUCAGACUUAUGUAAUAGGACUUCCUUCUGAAGUUGCUAAGAAGAUAACCUUUGAAGAAUAGGUUACCGACAUAAAUCUUAAUAGACUGUAAGGGGUGGUGGACAAGAGACUCUAUUUGCUACCCAUGUAGCGAUAUCAGUCGUUUAGUGAGUAACUUGUGUCAUCCACUGUUGAAUCCAAAUGGCACACAACACUUAAAGUUGGACAAGUUAUCAGUCAGACAAGAAUUGAUCCAAAUCUUGAUCAUAGUGAUCACAUAGUCAUAAUCAACCAUCUCUAUUGUGAUCUCAUUUUUGGCUAACUUUGAUCUUGACUGCCUACAAAUGGAUCAACUACAAUUGUUGCCACCAAAGAAGAGAGUUUUGGAAAUUUUUAGUGUUCAGAGACAACUGAUUUGUUAUCAGUUAGAAGGUUAAUCACUACCUUGGAAACGACUCCAUGAUAUCCCUGAAGGCUACGUCUCAUAAAAUAGUGUCAUGCAAAGAAAACAAUAAGUUGAUCAACGAUGCAAAUACUAUUUCCUUCUCUAGGCCCUAUGUUGUCAAGUCAAUUCAAUCUUGGACAAUCACAUAGAAGGUACCAAAUGCUAUAUCUAAGUCACAAGCUAGAGAAAAGCACAUCCCUAGUCUCGGUUAGCAUCAUUAUAUGUGUGGUGCUAUCAAAGGUUUUGUUUUGUUUGGUUAGCCAUAUGGUGUUUGUUUGUACUAAAUUUUGGUUAAUCAUCAGAAGACUCUUGGAUCUAUAUACACACUAACAAUUCAUGCAUAAUGAGGCUAGUUUGUGUGGUAUGAACUGAACCAAGAUGAACCUUAGGAUAACCUAGAAAAUACUCCUUGCACCCUUGGACACCUAGCUGUUACCCUAUCACAUCAACCGACAGUUGAGCAAUCUAGGCGUUCUACAAGUCAAAAAUAACUGGAAAGGUGUUAAACAACAAAUCUUAUAUUUAUUAUCUUAGAGCUGUUGUUUGGUCCUAGUAAGGAAUCCUCAAUCUCAAAAGUAGUCUCACCAAGCUAUUCUACUACAAUGCAAGUCGACCCAGAACCUACUAAGUCAUUGCUUAAUGAAGGAAAAUUUUAGUUGACUUGCUUGAUAGUAGCUUGUUUCCCUAGUUCGGUGAAUACUAGCAACUUUUGUUGUCCUCUAGACCUUGCUAUCGCCCAUCUUUAACAAUGCCAAUUUAGUACUAACAUGCCUUGGGUAUCUUCUAUGUUCCUUUUACCCAAGAGGUUGUAUUUGAUACAACCUAGGUAACUGUUAACCCUUGGAGUCAUGAAAUUCCUUGAAUGGUGAGCAUUGACUUGAUAGACUCAGAUAAUACAGUGUUGUUAUCAGAGAAAGAGAACUGCACACAUGGAACCUUAUGUAGCUUUCCAUUGACUGGCAUCUGAAUGAUUAGACCUUAUGACCAAAAUAAACAUUGUUUAUCGGUUAGCUGGUUUCUCAUAACCUCAAAGGAUGUUUAUCUAGUUCAUGAUCUCAUCCCCUACGAAAGGUUGUACUCAAGCCAUUCUGGUAGAGGACUGCUUUUUGAGCCUUAUGAACAUAGAUGGAAACAUUGUAAUGAGUAGUUUACUAUGCUCCAAACCAUCCAUCAUACAUUGGGAAUGAAGUACAUGUGAUAGUGAUGUCUUGAAUUCCUCCCAAAGUAACAAUGCUUCAUGGAAGUCAAUGGAGGAAAUUCUUUAGACAAAAAUUCACUACGAAGAACAAGUAUCAGAAAGUGUCCUGACCAAAUUAGCCUCUCUGAUGCUCGAGGAUAAGUAGUUGACUGCUAUCGCCAAUGUUAGAAGUGAAUAACAUGCUUCUCUACCCUUGGAAGUCUUUCGCCCUAAAUCUCGGGACAAGAUUCUUUUAAGGGGGAGGGUAGUAACACCCUAGGUGUUUGCCACUAGUUAGACCUUAGGUUUGAGCUCAAACAUAUCAUGAUAAGUGGUGAUGAUCAUGUUAAAGUCAAUCAAUGAAAGUGAGCCUCAAGUUUAACUUGGAGAAUGCACCAUUGCUUACAUAUCGGCCCUUUUCAAAGUGCAUGCUUGGGUGACAUUAAUGGAACCUCUUUCAUGUGUCCCACAUCUAUCACUGCCUAUAGUGAUCACUCAAAAAGUUUCAUAAAGUUCGAAAUCAAAAGGUCACAUGAAAUGAUAAGUUACAUACUUGUUGGAAUGACCUCAUUAAGUGAAUGGAACCAUGGGUCAUCAACCAAUAUUUGCAACCUUUCCCAAAUGACUCUAGAUGAACUCUACAACAAAAGUCAUGAAGGGUUCAUGUUGAGCUUGUGCCCAGAAAAUACUUCAAGUGGCCUAAAACCUUAAUUCAUGCUUUAUCAAGUUGCUGCUUUGACCAAAGUGCAAGUUUGAUUUCUAUACUAGUUCUGAGAUUUGACCUUAAAUAAAAGUUGUAUUUUUAGCUUCUGUAGAACAAACAUUGUUUAAUGGUCAAGAGCUAGUUUGGUCCCUAACCUAGACAAAUUGAGCUUACAAGAUUCAAUGCAGUGCUGUUUUGGAACACCAGAAUUUUGGCCAAGUCCUCAAGGUGUUUAGUUUUGGGUAUCCAUGUUGGGAGCUUUGUAUCUUCCAGUCCAGGCCAAAAUGGUAUAAGGUUCUUUAAUAAAAGUUGUAGCAUAGUUUGUAUGCUACAAACUUUGUUAAAGUGCCUAAGUCCGAAUCAUCAUCUAAGCAUAUCAAUUAAUGGUCAUAAUAUUGAAUCUGCUAUAGUUUUCAGCACUUCGAAUUUCUAAGUCUAGGUUUGCAGUUCAUUUCGUAGGCAUCCCGCGUUCUCCUAAUUCUUUUAAACAACUUGCUUGGGUCGCAGAAUAAAAGUUGGAGUACAUAUUGUGGACAAGAGCAUACCGAAAGAUGACACUAGUUCGACUUUUUUUGUCAUCAAUUUCGAGUUUCGCCAAUCACCAUCAAUAUGUUAACACUAGUGGUUUGGCAUCAUGUUAUCUCUUAAUCGGUUACUCUAAUGGCUUUAUACUCUGAAUCAAAGUUGCAGAACAGGCCGAGCUUGGCAUACUUUGGCCCAUGUCCAAAUUCAGCCUGGAAGAAGCCCAAAAUUGACUCCCACCAUGGCUACCCCGGCGCGCACCACCUGCUCGACGAAAUGCUUCAAGAGGUGACACGCGUCCUGGACGUAGCAUUCAUGCAGAGUUCGCGUCCCCACCAUUGCUACAGCGUGCCACUGCCUUCUACUCGCGAUGGGGACACACCAAGCCGUUCCCAGACGGUCCCCACUCCUCCUGCUCGCCCUCACUCCCUUCUCCUCGCUCUCCGCCGCGGGAACGCCGCCGCGUCCGCCGUGGCCGACGGUAUGAGCUCGCACCUGCCGCAAUGCUCGCUGCUCCGCGCCUCCUCAGCCCAAGCUAAGUACCUCAGUGCCUCUGCCGUCUCCUCCUGACUGCACUGAGCUCCAUUUCCGGCCCCAACCAUCGCUGGAGCACCGCCACCGUCGAGAGCAGACCGCCGCCGCCUCCUCCUGCCGUGGCUAGGCCGCCACGGGCCCUCUCCUGGCCAUCCAAGACCACCAGCAAGUGUGCGCUAGCCUACUGGUGCUCCCCCACCACUCCAUCACCGCCGACGAGGCUCCGACUAGCCGGAACACGAAGCUCCAGCGAGUCCUGUGUUUUCGUGCGACCAGGGACCUCGGGAUCGAAUUUGACUAAAGCCAGGGGUUUUUUGCAGAACUCAUGACCCAGAUGAAUAGUGCUUUGAGGACCUAUUUGUUUUGGAGAAAUGCUGUAACUUUGAAAAUCCAUAUAAAAUCAUAGCAAAAUCGUAAAUUAACAAAUGUAGACUUUUUAGAAUCCAUAUGAAAUUCUCUAUGCAGUAGAUCUAUAAUAUACCAUGUUUUAGUUUAAAGUUUUAGCUGUAGAAAAGGUUUUUAAUACUAGUUGAGAUUGUCUUUUUUAUAACUGCUGCUGUAGAGCUCCAAAUGAAGUGAAAUUUAUGUGGCCUGCUAUUCUUGUGAUGUUUGAUGCAUGCUGAAAGUUUCAUGAUUUUUGGUUGCAGUGUGGUUGAGUUAUUGAUUUAACUUGCAUAGGGCUUGAUAAAGGGUUUAUUAUUAUAAUUAAAAAUGUAAAAAUGGAAAAGGUUGUUCUAGUACAAUCCUAUGAUAUCAUUGUAUCAUAUUAAUAUAUAAUAUGGUCAAGUGUUUGAAGAAAAUAUGGUUUGUGCAUUUAUCUUGCUCUCACAUGGUUAAUUCUAAUAGCAAUUUGUCUUUUUCAUAGAUGUUGCUAUGUUUAUUCAAAUGUAAUGAAAUUUGGGCAGUAGACUAUGGAUAGUAUGUAGAAGCUACUAUAAGUUUGGUCGAAUUUAGUGAGCACUUUUGUUAUAUGUUCUUUAAUUCACCUUAUUAUCCAAAUAAAUUAAGAAAGGAAUUAAAUAAAUUUAUUUGGUAAUGACCACUAUGUUUUCUGGUGUUCUUUAGAUAUAUGCCAACUGUUGCUAACAAUGGUUUUGCUCAAAUCCAUGUUUGAAACAUAAGUUAAUAAUUAAUUGUGUGCAAUUGUUGUUUCUGGACAGUUUCUGGAACUGUUUGGAUUACAAUAUGUAAAUGACUUUUUCUGGGAAUCUUGUUCAUAGCAAAGUUGUAGAUAAUUUAUUUAUCUAGCUGCUUUUAAAAUUUGGUAGUAUUUGGCCUUGUGGUUUGUGAGUUAUGUCUAUUCAAAGUUUGAUUCCAGAAAUGGCUGCUCUCUGUUUGUCAGGGACAGAUACUGGAACUUUAUAAUUUCGACCAGCUUCAGUUAAGAAUCAUGCUUUUAUGUAUAAAUAUCAAAUGUAGAUAAUAUCUUAAGAUUUCCAGAAUGUCUUCUUACAUAUAUUUUGGAGUUGUGUAACUCUAGUUAUGAUUUAUUUUCUCAGCUGCUGUUAACAGUCCUAAAAAUUACAGAUUCCUUGUAUUGUUGUUGCUUGGUAUAUUGCUAUGUAUGACUCAUGUCUUUGAUAAUGGCCAAGUUAAUACACCUGAGUGUUGACACUAGCUAACACCACUUAGAUACUAGGUUGUCAUCCCUAGCAUGGCGCCAGAGUGUACAAAGGUAUUUAUAAAUGUAAAGGCUCUCUAGAAAAUAAUCUAUUCUAUCCGCAAGCGCACAGAUAAAACACCUCAUUGUAGCAUUUCACCAGGAUAAGUAUUUCAGGUAUCGUUAUUUAUAAUUUUGCUCAAGGGAUCUAAAGAAGAUGAAAUUAAAUCAUAAAGAAUUAUAAGUUCAUGGGUAGAUAACACAGCGAUUAGAAAAUAGACUACUCCUCAUAUAUGUAGGUGAUGUCAGAUUAGCUAGAGAAUGGAUUCUAAGUUAUCUACUAACUACUAAGUCAUAAUCUACUCUAGUUAUCUACAAGAUCAUAUAUAGCAUAAAAGACUCUUCAUUCAUGUAUAAGGAACAUUGAUAAAGUAAAUCAGAGCAUCGCAUGACUUACUCCACAAUACCGGUUCUGCCUGUCCUAUCAACGGAGGGUGGACUAUAUAUGAAUCAACGAAGCUGUCACUAUCGCGAACUACCACACGACCCGGCCAAUAGGAUACAUUUGCAGAUAAAUAACAUCUAAGCACCACGCUCACAUGUGAUCUAUCACCUAACUCCCUCGCGUCAAGAGCUAAGCGCUUUGCAAACUUAUACAUAAACUCAUUAUCAAUUAGAACUAUAUCAAAUAUAGAACUAGAGCAAACUAAGAACAUAAUAAUUAGAGACAUAAUGCAAUUAGAACAAUAGAAUUAGAUAAAGAUAUGAAUAAUACCAAUCUUUAUUACCGAAGAUCCGAAUCCAGAGCGUAGUGCUCUACUUCUCUAAUUGCUAUCUAAUCAACCUCUAAACUUGAAGGAUUAGGGAGUAGCUAAUUCUAAUUCUCUGUGGGAGAGGUGUUCUAAACCCUAACUUUGAUGGCUACCUCUGAAUAAUGAUUUCUCCUCUCUCCUCCAGGGGCCAGUCUGGUUUUAUAGUCCCCUCAAGUAAACGUGAGCCAUUGGAUCAAACCGACAUAGAUUGUAUGGUUUAGAUUGAUCCUUUAGGUCGGUGGAGCGUAGUCCCGAAGUAGAGUCCCGAUCCAACUUCAACCCUAGGUGGGCGCCCAAGGGGGGUGGGCGGCCGCCCUGCCCCCGAGCCCGAUCGUGCUCUCGUUCGUUCCCGUGGCUUCUGGACUCUUCUAGAUUGAGGAAAAUUGCGCGGCACGUAAUUAUCUCGUUGUAAACAUGACAUGUGGGCCUUCUCUCCAUAUUCUCUGAUAACCCCCUGCAGAAAUAGAUAAACACCAAAACUCGUGGAAUUCUGUCAGAUAAAACCCUAAUUCUAGAUGUUUGUUUCAUAUUGAUCCUUUUUCAUUUUUAUUUGAUUAUUAAUUUUAGUACUUAAGGACCGUCAACAAACUCCCCCAAGCUUACCCUUUGCUCGUCCCUGAGCAAACAGCUAAACUCAGACGGAUCAGGAGUUGCUUCGAUGUUUUCUUUCCUGACAGGUACACAUGCUUUUAAAUAAAAUUCUUCCAGAUUAGAGUGAAGUGUUAUGGAGUUUAGAACCUGCACUUAAGUCUUAAGUAAUCGAAAUACAAAAUAGUUAAGUCAAGCACUAUCCCUCCUGUUUAUACUUCACCUUUGUUCCAGAGUUUUUUAUAAGUUUUCAAAAUAAAACUCAGAGUUCCCAGCAAUGAUUCUCUCAAGUCUCUAUAUAUGUGGUAUUUGUGGAUCCUUACCAUAAUGUCACUUACCUAUAGCUAAUGGAAUAUUUAAGUGGAGCUUAUAGGAGUGAAAAACAGCUCAUACAUAUAUUGUCUAAUCGAGCCAUGGAUCCAAAGGAACUCAGCAUAUAAUUAAAUCAAGAUGUGCAUGUGUGGUGGAGUAAAUGAUAGUGAUGGUGAAAAUGUAUAAGUGUUAAUAAAACUUAGUUCUCAUUGCUCCUCAUAUUGCUACCUCUUCUCUUCUUUGAUCUUUGCUUUUGGAAAACAUGGGCUAUCUUUUCUUUCUUUUUUCUCUUUUUUUUUCAGGUGGGUAGUAGAUACCCCUAAUUCUACUGUCGGACACUUGUCCAUUUUUUCCGCUCAAGUGGGCAUCUUUGUACCCCUAAUUCUACUUCGGACACUUGUCCAUUUUUACCUCUCGUCUCACUCUUUUUCUUUCUUUAUCGAGGUUCCGGGCACUUGCCCCUUUUUAUUUCCUCGCAUAUUUUUGCAUAACCCAUGCCUCUUCUGCAUUGAAUCUUUUUAGAGAGAGAGAAUAACAAUAUUCGGGACAGUGAGUGAAAAUAUUUUUAGCAAUUUUAAUGAAUGGUGAUGGAUGGUGUAGUAGAUGUGUGCAAGUGAAUAUCUUAAUUUAACCACAUGAAAAGCUCCUAAGGGUCUACACAGCUCGAUCAAACUCAAUGUAAAUAUAGUAAAAGAUGUUAUAGCAUGUAUGGUUGUGGUAGGUAGUUUGCAAUGCUAGGAACUCAUCAUGUGAUUUGUAAUUUUUCAAAAUAAAUCUCCAGAACUUAGUGUAGUAGGAACAAGAUAAACAGUAGCUCAACUUUAUAUCAUGCCUUUCUCUUACCUAGACUUUAGUUUUAUGCUUCCAAAGAUAGUAAUUUCAGUUUUAGUAAUUCCUGGAAGAUCUCUAAUAUAAAAGCUAGGUACUUGUAAGUAAGCAAACAGAGCAACUUGUUCAUCAUUUCCAUCAUGCAUCUUUUUGGUCUUUUUAUUUUUCUAGAGAUUAAACUUAGCAGGAAAAUAAAGCACACUUAUCUACACACUCUUUUUAUUUUGUUUUCAUGUUUAUUAAAGUGCAGUGAAUUAAAGCAAGAAAAUAUUUAUUUGGUUUUCUAAGUUUUUCCUUUUAAGAUAAAUUAAAUACUAAGACAGAAUAGAAUAAAUAAGAAGAGCAAAUAAAAACUUACUUGAUAAAUUUGAGAGGAACUCCCCCAAGCUGGAUGUUGCCGUCGGUCUUACCCGAUGUUCCAGAACCGCAUCAUGGUUGUAAUGUUGUCGUUCAUUGUUGUUGUAUCUUGUCUUAGGUCUUCUACUGCAGCUGCAUGGUCUUGGUUCCAUUUUUGUUGUUCUUCCAGGAGUCUUCCAUGUUCUGCUUGCGUGUUCUGGAUGUCGAGGAGGGUGUUGUCGGUGCGAGUGAAGAAAGCACCGGCCUCUUGAUAGUAGUCAUUCGUGAAAGCGUAGGAGGCGUCGGAGUAUCGUCCUGCAUCAAAUUGGGGCGGAGGUCUCGAUCCUGAAGCUCCGUAUGGAUCAGUCGAGUACCUCCCCGUAUGGAAAGGCGGGUUUGUCCACUGGUGAUCUUGGCUCUCCGGCCAUGUCUCCUCUGUUGGCUCUUGUGGUUGCGCAUGUCGAGCCCAUGGGUCUCGAAGGACUCGAGGGUUGUAAUCGCAAUAAUGCAGGUGCGCUGCUUCUUCUGGUCCAGGGUUAGCUCCAUACCAGGUGCGUUCUCGGUGAGUGGUUAUCCUUUCGGAAGCCACUCGCUGUGGAGUUCUCUGGUUCACUGGUGUUGCUGCAAUGUCAAUCAAAAAGUUUUGCACAACGUAGAGGCCAAGGUUUGGGUUAGGUAACCGAAUCUUGCCUUUAUCAUCAUAUAGCAUAUACAUUAUAUUUCCCUCUUUCUUUAACAUCCGAGCUUGUCUAAAUGUGUCAUAGCCAUGAUAAAUUCUUAAUUCUUCUAUGAAAUCCAACGAUGAGUUUUCUAGUAAGUGAAGAUUAGAAGCUAGACGAGUGAUAAGUGAAGUACAUCCUACUGGUCCCUGAAGACUAGGUAUACUAAGGCAAUGUGAAACUAAUAGUGUAACAGGUGAAGUGGGUACUUUACUAAUAGCAGCAUAUAAAAGUUGUAAAUCUCCUACUCUUACUUUCCUAAUAUCAUCACGAUAGAAAAGAUUGUACCCAAGCCAUUUGUGGAACAUCCUAAGAGUGGGGUGUUCCAUGUCACUGGUUCGGGCUUGACUGUAAAAAUUAUCUCUAGAUAUUUCUCUCUAAAAUUGGUGUCUCUCAAAAUUGGGUAAAUCGGAGUCAAUGUUCAGGAUGCAUCUUGAAGAGAAACCAAGAUGGUCGCUUAGCUCUCUCCAAGACAACAUAAUUUCCUCUUUGAACAUCCGAAAAACAAUUCCCCCCUCAUAGUAUUGUAAAGUGCAAAGAAAUUCGAGGGUGAGAAGACGAGAACCUAGCUCAGUUAUAUUCCAAAAAUUUAUCCAACCUAACAUCUGGAAAAUUAAGUCAAAUUCAGUGUCCAUACCUGUUUCUUGUAGUAAGAUUGGAUCGAUAGUAGGGGUGUGAAUGAAAUCUUUGUUCUUCAGUUGCUGAUAGACUUCCUUCUCUCUUCGAGUCUUCAGUCCAAGGUCUCCUAUCUUGAGAAGGACCUUAACUUGCUGACCUGAUGAAGAUGAUGGAGCUUGUGUGGGUGUCGGGUCGACGCUCAUCUCUGAUGGCUGUGAGGAGUGUCGAGCUGAACUCCUUGUACCAAUGUUCUUGAGAGCUUUUCCUGCAUCCUUCACCUUCUUAAACAUCCUGCAAACAAAAGUUGGCAAAAACAACUUUUACUUCUGCUUAGACAACGGGAUCACUGCUUGGUAAGUGAUACUCACUCUCUAUCAACUUCUUUCCCACUCUUCUCUUUCUUUCUACUCUCUUCUCUCUUCACUACAAGAGCUCUUUUUGGAAACUGAUACUUGUGUGGUUUUCUGGAGUGCUUGUGUGAAGAAGAUGGAGGUAGAAGGUGGCUAUUUAUAGGAGGAAGAGGGAGCAGGGCGGGCGCCCUAGGUAGGUGGGCGGGCGCCCACUCCUGGUGUCCAUCCUGGGUAUGCCUCUUCCACUUGCUUCCUUGCUUUGAUCUUACGCAGAAUAAUGUUGUGUGGUGGUAAGAUGUCUGGUGAGUGGAAACAUAUUGGUGGAUGAAAUAAUGUGAUGGGAUGUAUGUGAGGUGUGGUGUAUGACAUGUGGGACCCAAGGAGUGUGGGUCAUGCUUCUAGAAGGUUACGAUUAUUAAAUAUAAUGCAGGAAAAUCUAUGACAAUUGAAACUUAAUUAAAAUGAUAAUGGAAAAUAUUUUUGUGCCUCCACAAUAAUUAAUAAAUAUGGGUUGUUACACACCAUGAAUAUUAUUUAUAUGGGGCUUUUCAUUAUUAUAAUAAUGCUAUGAAUAAAUAUGACUAAUGCAAGAAUUAAUUAUGCAAGAAUUUAAAUAUGAGAAAAUUAAUAAUGCGGAUAAUUACCGAUUUACCUCCCGGUGAGGGUUUGGGAUUUUUAGGUCCCCCAAGCUGGACCUCCAAAUCUUUUAAUCUUCUGAGUUACCUUCCUCUAGAGAUAGUGUCUCCAGUGGUUCUUCAUGAACUUCCUUCACUGUAGAGUCUCUCUCUGGUCUGGGUUUGAAUGUGAAGUGUUCUUCUUGACCGUUUAUGUUGAACUUGAUUUCUCCCUUCCCGACAUCAAUGUGAGCAUUGGCAGUGCUCAGAAAUGGCCUUCCAAGGAUGAUGGACACUUUUGAGUCAGGACUCAUGUCCAGUACUACGAAGUCUACCAGCACAAGGAAAUCUCUGAUCUUGACUGGAAUGUUCUCGGCGAUACCCAGCGGGUGUCGAACCGAUUGAUCCGCUAGUUGUAGACACAUUGAUGUUGGUUCUAAGGUUGCAUGAUCAAGCUUUUUGUAGACUGAUGCUGGCAUCACACUGACACUUGCUCCGAGAUCACAAAGUGCAUUGUUGAAGUGUUGGUUUUCGAUCGAGCAAUCAAUAGUGGGACAUCCAGGAUCUUCCUUCUUCUUUGGUGGUUUAUUGAGGAUGGCCGCACUACAUUCUUCUGUCAGCUUGAUAACCUCAGUGGUGGGCAGUGGCCUCUUCUUGUUAAGAAUAUCUCUGUUGUACUUUGCAUAUGUAGGUACCUGUAUGGCAUCGAGCAGAGGUAUGUUGACAUAUAAUUUCUGAAUGACCUCUACAAACUUACCAAACUGCUCAUCCGACUGCAGUCCUCUGUUUCUUCUAGGAAAUGGCAAAUAGUUGGUGUCAUAAAAAUCUUUCCUCAUUUCUCCAGUUCUUGGUGGUUGUGGCAGAUCUUCUGCUCCAACUGGGCUUUCUUCUUCUAUCACUGCUGGUUGCACUGGUGCUGAUGUUCCUUGUUUCUCUUUUGGGUAUGGUGGAUCUCUGGUAGCUUUGCCUCCUCUAGUAGUUAUAUUCUUCACCUUUGCUAUUGGGUUGACUCGAAGUUGGUUGAUAUUUGUAUGCUGUCUCAAUGGCCCUUUGAUCUUCUUUAAACUUGGCCCUCUGGUCAAUCCAAUGGAGCAAAUUUUCCAUCUUAGUUGAUAAUGCAUUUACUUCUUCUAGUAUUUCUUCAGUUUGAUGACAAUGUUGAGCUUUAUCUUGGAACCAGCUUUGGUUUUCUGCUAUCUUAUCCAAAAGUAUCUCUGCUUUUCCAGUUGUAAGCUCCAAGAAUGAUCCUUUAGCAGAUGCAUCUAGGCACUCACGAGCCUUCUGGGUUAAUCCAUGGUAGAAGGUCUGCAUAAGUAACCAUGUGGCUAUUCCAUGUUGAGGACAAUCUGAUAUUUAUCCUUGAAAACGCUCCCAUGCUUCUGAAAUGGCUUCUGUCUUCUGCUGUUGGAAACUGAUAAUAUUUCCUCUUAAGGCAGUUGUUUUUCCUAUAGAGAAAAACUUUGAUAGAAAGGCAUCUGACAAGUUCGUCCAGUUGUUGAUGUUAUCUUGAUGAGUGUAGAACCACUUCCUCGCUUUUCCUUCUAGUGAGAAUGGAAAAAGACGAAGUAGUAUGACGUCUUUGUCAACUCCGUUGAUGUGGAUUGUGCUUCCAAUCUCUAAGAAAUUCUGCAAGUGUGCACUAGCAUCUUCAUGUGUCUUUCCACUGAAUUGUGUAGCUUGCACCAAAUUGAUGAGGCUUGACUUGAGCUCAAACUCGGGUAUUCCUUCUUCUACUGCAAAUCUUGGACUCGUUGGAAUGUUGUCAAGACUUGGAGCAGAGAAUUCUUGCAAGGUCUUUUGUGCCAUAGCUUCAGCAAUUGCUAGCUAGCUUCUUCUUCUCUUGAUUGCUUUGGUUCUGAUGACGAAGAGUUGAAUGUACCCAAAGUCAAUCCUGUUAUACCCUGUAUAAAAAUAUAAACAUAGAAAGACAACAGGGUGAACCUGCCAAAGCAGAGGUGCCUUGUUAUGAUUUCUCACUUAGUAGCUGUUUUUAUGCAAUUAUUUCUCUAUAGUGUAGUCUAAUAUUUUAUAUGAAUAACCUUGACUGAUUUUCUGGCUUUCCUAGGCAUUACCCUUUUGUUCCCUUUUAUGACUUAUUCCUGAGACUCGUAUAAAUUCCUAUAAGUUCCCCGGCAACGGCGCCAGAAAUGCUUGUUGACACUAGCUAACACCACUUAGAUACUAGGUUGUCAUCCCUAGCAUGGCGCCAGAGUGUACAAAGGUAUUUAUAAAUGUAAAGGCUCUCUAGAAAAUAAUCUAUUCUAUCCGCAAGCGCAUAGAUAAAACACCUCAUUGUAGCAUUUCACCAGGAUAAGUAUUCCAGGUAUCGUUAUUUAUAAUUUUGCUCAAGGGAUCUAAAGAAGAUGAAAUUAAAUCAAGGGGCAAAAUCUAUCAAGGCAUAGACUAGAGAUAAACUUGCAAGAACAUGAUUACUAAUGAGAAACUCGUCACACAGUCACAUACUUUAGCAGGGGGUAAACCAUAAAGAUAAUGAUAAUGAAUUAUAAGUUCAUGGGUAGAUAACACAGCGAUUAGAAAAUAGACUACUCCUCAUAUAUGUAGGUGAUGUCGGAUUAGCUAGAGAAUGGAUUCUAAGUUAUCUACUAACUGCUAAGUCAUAAUCUACUCUAGUUAUCUACAAGAUCAUAUAUAGCAUAAAAGACUCUUCAUUCAUGUAUAAGGAACAUUGAUAAAGUAAAUCAGAGCAUCGCAUGACUUACUCCACAAUACCGGUUCUGCCUGUCCUAUCAACGGAGGGUGGACUAUAUAAGAAUCAACGAAGCUGUCACUAUCGCGAACUACCACACGACCCGGCCAAUAGGAUACAUUUGCAGAUAAAUAACAUCUAAGCACCAUGCUCACAUGUGAUCUAUCACCUAACUCCCUCGUGUCAAGAGCUAAGCGCUUUGCAAACUUAUACAUAAACUCAUUAUCAAUUAGAACUAUAUCAAAUAUAGAACUAGAGCAAACUAAGAACAUAAUAAUUAGAGACAUAAUGCAAUUAGAACAAUAGAAUUAGAGAAAGAUAUGAAUAAUACCAAUCUUUAUUACCGAAGAUCCGAAUCCAGAGCGUAGUGCUCUAUUUCUCUAAUUGCUAUCUAAUCAACCUCUAAACUUGAAGGAUUUGGGUGUAGCUAAUUCUAAUUCUCUGUGGGAGAGAAGUUCUAAACCCUAAAGUGAAUAAUGAUUUAUUUGAAUAAUGAUUUCUCCUCUCUCCUCUAGGGGCCAGGGGGUCUGGUUUUAUAGUCCCCUCAAGUGAACGUGAGCCAUUGGAUCAAACCGACAUAGAUUGUAUGGUUUAGAUUGAUCCUUUAGGUCGGUGGAGCGUAGUCCCGAAGCAGAGUCCCGAUCCAACUCCAACCCUGGGCGGGCGCCCAAGGGGGGAGGGCGGCCGCCCUGCCCCCGAGCCCGAUCGUGCUCUCGUUCGUUCCCGUGGCUUCUGGACUCUUCUAGAUUGAGGAAAAUUGCGCGGCACGUAAUUAUCUCGUUGUAAACAUGACAUAUUCUCUGAUAACCCCCUGUAGAAAUAGAUAAACACCAAAACUCGUGGAAUUCUGUCAGAUAAAACCCUAAUUCUAGAUGUUUGUUUCAUAUUGAUCCUUUUUCAUGUUUAUUUGAAUAUUAAUUUUAGUACUUAAGGACCGUCAACACUGAGAUCUUGUGAAACAUGUAUGCCAUGCCUGAUAUACUUGGUUGCAUCUAUUUCUAUCUUAGUACGUUGAUUGUGUUAUGUUACUUAAGCAACAUGAAACACACAUGUAUGUGUAGAGUAACAUGAUACUUGUCUGCUUACUGUAUAUCAUGCAUUGUCUAUUGCACUUCUAUGUGUUCAUACACUUGCAUCUUGCAUCUCAUUUAGGUAUGCUAGAUGAACCACGUGAAGGACAUGAUGGUGGAUCUAUCGGAAUGAUGGAAGGACUACACAAGUGUUGCGAACUUGGAUGUCGUCAAGAUGAAGCAAGAUAACUUAACUGACUUGUGUCAGAUUCCAGGCAAGCCCCAGAGCAUUCUAAGUCUCCUACCCUCUCUUUUUAUAAAAGCACAAGAGUAUACCUUUAUAUGUUGCAUUAGGUGAUAGGAGUUGAAUGAAACCGUUGGUGCAUAUUUCCUACCUUGUCCACUAUAUGUAACUACCUGAACCCUUACUAGUAUAAGGAAGACGUUCUAUGCAUAGCUAUGCUUAGCUCGGUAGAAGCCAGGUGAUUUCCUGUCACCUGCGAGAGAUAGGUGGAUACCUGAUCACAGUUGGUUAUAUUUGCUAUCGUAGAAAUAACCAUGUGUAAUAAUGAAUGGAGACCGGGCGGGAUGACGAUGUGAAACAACAAGGCAUGGAGGUCUUGGGUGUGGAUCUAUCCCUGUCUAUGUCGUUUAAGGACCGAUACGCUGUACAUCCUCUCAUCAUGUUGCACGCAUGCCUAACACUUAGUUGGCCAGAUAAGUCGUUCCGACCGUGAAGGCUAUGAGUGCAAAUCCGGCCGGAUACCCCAUUCGGUUUAUGUGCGCACCUAAAAGCCCAAGUUUGGUUUUGGUAAUUAAUGACACCAAGUUGCUAACGCCUUGUAUUUAAGUGAUUUGAGUUAGGCAUAGCAACACAUGUGAUGAAGGUGCAUGGUGGCAUGGAAAGGUGGCCACAUGAUUACAAAGAGAUGAAGCAUGAAGUGGGGAUCAUGGUGAUAUACAAGGAGUAAAGUGAACAAGGCAAAGGUAUAAACAUAGGGUUUUGCUUUUGCCGGUCUAAGUUGAGUAGAGAAGUGUGUGACCGGGUUUAGGAUAGAUAGCCGACUAUCAAGAGGGGAAAUCACGGUCAUCUCUUGAAUCAAGUGCUACUAGGUCCAUAUCUUGAGCAUAUGCAUUAGGAUCUAGUAAAGUGCUAACUUAACUCCUUUGGUGAAAAUGUUUGUGAAAAGCUAACACACAUGCACUUUGGUGGUGGACUCUAGUUGGUGUUAGCACUCAUUGUCGGUGCUUUUUGAGAAAAUUAAGUGUAUAUUUUCUAUUGCGCCAGUGGAAAAUUUGGAGAAGUCACGGGGGAGAAACACUCACCGGACGCUGGCCUUGGAGGAACCGAACGCAGAGGCUGUGCGUCCGGUGUGCAGUAGUGCUUGGCUCUGCUAGGGUAAGGCAUCGGACGCUAGGCAUCAGACGCAGGAGAGAUCCUGUUGACACGUCCGGUGUGACUUGACUUCAGCUGGUGUGUUUGGUUGGUAGCACCGGACGCUUAGAGCGCGUCCGGUGAGGAGUGUCCGAUGCUCUGCACUUCUGCAAUGCUCUCUGGGUUUUAGACUAGUGAGCACCGGACGGUCCAGUGCUCAGCGUCCGGUGACCCUGCAAGUUUGCAGACUUCUCUGUGUUUAUGACCGGUGUGCACCAGAAGUGUCCGGUGCCAACUUAGUCGCGUCCGGUGGUCCGCAGGUGACCGUUAAAGUUUGAUGCGUGAGUUUCAAAGGAGGACACAUGGCCAACCCCUGAGCACCGGACGCUAGAGGUCGAGCGUCCGGUGAUCACUUGGUAGCGUCUGGUGCCCCCGUUUUCAGCCCAAUCAAUGUAGCCAACGGCUAUUUCCUUGAGGGGCUUAUAAAUAGGAGGUGGCCGGCUUUAGGAGGUCAACUCUUGCACAUUUGAAUACUUGAGGCAUACUUUGAGCUAGAGAACACUCCUUCCACUCAUCUCCUUGCUUGUUUGCUAAUCCUAUUGAGAUUGAGUGAGAUUCAAGUGCAUUGCUUUGAGAGUUGCAAUUAGUGGCACUUGAUUCUUGAGUUUGCUGCGGUUUUCUUGUUACUCUUGGGUGUUUCCCGAUGCCCUAGACGGCUUGGAGCAGCGGUGGUGUUGAGCUCAUGAUUGGAGAUUGUUUCGAGCCUCCCCAAGUGAUUUAUGAGGGGUUCUUGAGCCUUCCCCAUGGGAGAUCGCAAUUGGCUACUCUAGUGGAUUGCUCGUGGCUUGGAGGAUCCCCAUCUUGUGAGUGGAUGUGUGGCACCCGCUGAGGGUUUGGCUUUGGAUUGCCAAUUAGCUCGUGAUCCAUCAAGUGGGUGUAUCGCCACAACGAGGACUAGCUUGCCGAGAAGCAAAUGAACCUUGGUAAAAAUAUUGUGUCAUCUCUUGCCGAGGAUUCUCUUGUAAUUGUGAUUAAUUGAUUGGUUGUAUUUCUACUCUACAACGUUGGUAUAACAAUCACUCCCCUCUCCUUUCCUUAUGUGCAUACCUUGCUAGUUGUGUAGCUUGUUUAGCUUAGCUUUCUUGUUGUAACUAGUGUUUAGCUUUCUUUCUAGACUUGUCUAGGUGGCUUGCAUAGCUUAGUUGUGCUAGUGCUAGAAUAGCUUUGCCUUUUGUUUUACUAAUCAACUUUUCUAGUUGAAGUUUGUAGAAAAUUUAAAUAGGCUAUUCACCCACCCUCUAGCCAUUUGGACCUUUAUGCACCCCGGUUGGUAGCAAGGAUGUGCGGGGAGUCAAUGGCGUAAGACCGAGGUGUCAGGUUAGAGUCCUGACCGUGGCAGAUUGGCAGUCUGAAAGAGCAUCUAGGCCCCUAGUGAUUUUGGUGAUUAAUGACAAUGUUGAUUACUAUGACUAACGUGUGUUUUGCAGAGGCAAAGUCAUAGGUAUAGUCAUGGUAAUAGGUACUCAAUGGACAGGGACGUACAUGCCUACUUCAUAGUGGAAAUCGUUUCGGUUUUCAAAGGAUGGAUGGACAUCGUCAAGACUAGACUAGGUCUAAGUGCCAUAUGGUGAAGAAGGGCAAUUAGAGUAGUUUAGGACUUUGUUUUCCUUUGACCGUACUAUUAAGAGGGGUUUUGAUCUAGUAGCUUGACUUAGGCAAGGCUUUAGGUUUAGGUGUGGUGCACACUUGGUAAACCUAGCACUAGGCAGCUCAGAGAUAGUCCUUAGAUCGAGAGGAACCAACUUUGUUUUGGAGCGAUUGCGUUUCGAUGAAGUUAGGGUGCCCAAGGGGGCACCGGACGCUGCACUGGACGCUCUGUGAGUGCGUCCUGUGAGGUCCUUAGCCAUUGAGAGUUUGGGUGCCUUAGGGUUAGGCACCGGACGCUGGCACCGGACUCACCGGGCAGCGUCCGGUCCCACACCCAGGGAGGUUGCAAACUUCCCUUGAGCACCGGACGCACCGGGUAGCGUCCGGUCCCAUACUCAGGGAGUUUGUAAAACUCCCCGGAGCACCGGACGGUGCCACCAGACGCUAAGAGGUAGCGUCCGGUGACCUGUCAGACGCAGGUAUAGUUAGCCGGAGUGUGUGUUGACACUAGCUAACACCACUUAGAUACUAGGUUGUCAUCCCCAGCAUGGUGCCAG